rnacentral:lncRNA from 1 species
GUAAUUCUACUAUUAGAAGUGGAAAAAGAGUGAUGCUAAAUUCACAAAACUCCGUAGUUCAAUCGGACUAAAUGGGAAGUAUCAUAUCCAGCUCAAAAAUAAGUACUUGCUGCAGAAAAGUUAAUCAGUAAAAUCCUAAAGAACAUUAAGGUCAAAAUUCAGUAGAACCAGCCUUGCACCUUCUUAUCUAUGAUUCUGCGUUCGAUUUCUUCAGCAAAAGACUGAAUUUUGUAUCUCCAUCACAUUUUGUUUCCUAUACGUCCUUACCCAGGUGCGUGGUCCCCAGUGAACCUCGACCAUCCGGCAACAUUCCAAACACUGGCCAUGGACCUAGAGCUCAAGAAGAAGAUCAUGGAUGAUCUCGACAGGUUUGUGAGAAGGAGGGAGUACUACAGGAGAGUUGGCAAGGCGUGGAAAAGAGGGUACUUAUUGUACGGACCCCCUGGAACGGGGAAAUCAAGCUUGGUCGCUGCGAUGGCCAAUUACUUGAACUUCGACAUAUACGACCUAGAACUGAGCGGGCUCUGGAGCAAUGCGGAUCUCAGGAGGCUGCUCGUCGCGACCAAGAAUCAAUCCAUAUUGGUGGUUGAGGACAUCGAUUGCACCAUUCAAUUGCAAGAUAGGAAGUCGGAAACACAAGCCGCCAACAUGAAUUUGAUGUCGACGGGUCAUAAGCGACAAGAUCGAGUACAAUUUUUUCUUCUUGCUUUCUUUUUUAGUAUAAGUUCGAGUACCAUGAACAUGAUUUGUCCUCGACAUCUAACUCAUGUUUUUCCCUACAACAUUAAUUUUUUCCUCAUGGAAUAGGUGACAUUGUCUGGAUUCCUCAACUUCAUUGACGGGCUUUGGUCGAGUUGUAGUGAUGAGCGGAUCAUAGUCUUCACGACAAACCACAUUGAGAAAUUAGACCCAGCCCUAUUGCGGCCAGGGCGCAUGGACUUGCACAUUCCCAUGUCUUAUUGCACCCCUUGCGGGUUUAGGCUUCUCGCUUCUAAUUAUCUCGGGAUCGAUCACCACGAGCUCUUUGGCCAUAUCGAGAGUGCGAUCACAACAGCCAGAGUCACUCCAGCCGAAGUAGCGGAGCAGUUGAUGAAGUGCGACGAACCGGAGGUCGCUCUUGGGGACAUGGUUUCAUUCCUCAUUAAUCACAAGAGAAAAGAAAAUGAAGAAGUCAUUGAGGAGAGAGUUGGUCGGUCCCAAUUGGUUGAAGAGAAUGGAAGGCGUGAAGAAGAAAGCAGCGAGUGCGAACUAUUGGAAGAAUAAACAAUAUAUCAACUGUGUUGGUACGUUUCCAUCGAUUUUAACUUAGACCAUUAUGAAGAUCUUGAUUAUUGUGGAUUCAAUCACAAAAGCGAUCGAUGGAAAGCUAUCGUGUAUUAAUCCGAAUUAUUAAUAAUCUGAGUCCAAUGGUAAAAUCAUGUGAUCAAACAGAGUAAACGAACUCAAUUUAUAUGAUCUAUGAGCCAUGCGAUAUUUUUUAGCGAUUGAUAUUCAUAUAGUGCGGAUGGUAUAAUUUGCUUCAUAUAGUUAUCGCGUCAAGGACUUAUAAUCAGACACUGAUGAUAUCUCAUGUUUUGGGCCUCCCAUGACAUCUUGUAUUUGCUUGGAUUGGCUGAAACCAUUCCCUGUCCGAUUUAGACCAACCAUUGGGGUCAAGGUCAUUUCGGUCUUUUUGUUCCCCAUUGCCGAGAUGGAAAUUUUCUCUUUGGGUUUAAUAUUACAGGGGUUCUGGACUUAUUUGAGUUUGAUAUGAUAAUCCUCCAUUGCACACAUAUCGAAUAAUUACUAGAUUCACAUAGGUCUAUGCUCUGAGGAUAUGGUCUCAAGAAAAAUGCCCAAAUACGAUGGUUCGAAUCGGAUCGAUGAGCGAUAAGUGAAGAUAAGGUUAUCACUUGCGUAAUCUUUUAGGGUUUGUUUUUAUCCUAGAAAACGACAAGCUUAGCAAAAGCAGAACGACCGACAAAAGGUUCCACUAACCCUGGUUAUUCAUAUCGUGUAGUGGGAGUUAAGAAGAGAUUGUUAUAUAGAUCAUUUCUAAAUGCAACUGAUUUACUGGAAUUUUGAUAUUUAAAUAGUCCAGCCAAUCGAUGAACAGGUUUAUGCUAUUUAAUUAAAUGAAAUCGUAGUGGAAUGCGCCGUGAUUUUGCCCUUACAUCGAGAUGCAAAUUCAGUGAAUUUGAUAAUUCCAUGGGAUUGGUCGAUCUGAUUUUAACAUCAAGAUCAAGGUGUACGAAAAGACUCAGGACAGAGCAUGAAUCAGCUUGGUCGAGAAGGUAACACAAAAGCGCAUCAUGCAUUUGUACCUUUGUGCUUUACAGUCAGACUUCCAUAGGACCGACUCAUUGACAAUAACAUAUUCAUCUACGAUUCUCUAAUCCUCUAUUGGUUCUUUCCCGAGUGCGUGAUUGCCAGUGAACCUCCACCAUCUGGCGGCAUUCCAGACGCUGGCCAUGGACCUAGAGCUCAAGAAGAAGAUCCUCAACGAUCUCGACAGGUUCGUGAGGAGGGAGUACUAUACGAGAAUUGGCAAGGCAUGGAAAAGAGGGUACUUAUAGACCGACUGGGAAAGCAAGCCCGGUUGCCACAAUGGCCAAAUACUUGAACUUCGAUAUAUACAACCUAGAACUGAGCAGGCUCCACAGCAAUGCGGAGCUUAGGAGGCUGCUCGUCGACGCCACAAAUCAGUCCAUAUUGGUGGUCGAGGACGCUGAUUGCACCACUAAGUUGCAAGAUAGGUUGUCGGAAACACGAACCACCAGCAUGAAAACGCUGUCGAUGGGUUAUUAGCAACAAGAUUGAGCACAAUUUUUCCUUUUGGCUUUUCUUUUUUGGUAUGAGGUCUAGUUCAAUUGCUGCGUAGUAUGAAUAUGAUCCAUCCGCGAUGUUUAACUCAUGUUUGUACCUUCAAAAAAAAAAAAGAAAUUCCUAAUGGAAUGAUUAAGGUUGUCUAGAUUUCUCAACGUUGUCGAUGAGCUUUAGUCGAGCUAUGGUGAUAACGAAUUAUAGGCUUCACAACAAACCAUAUUGAGAAACUAGACCCAGCCCUAUUGCGCCUCGGGCACAUGGAUUUGCACGUUCCCAUGUCCUAUUACACCCUUAUGGGUUCAGGCUUUUGUUGCGAGUCAAUUGAUCUAAUAUUCCCUAACCCGUGCGGCAUUAGGUCUUUUUCCAAGUCAGCCUUACUCACACUCAACUCACAAAAAUCGUAUUAAAAGAAAAUUAUUAGUAUAUUUCACUUGUGAAUAAGAUGAUAUAAUUUAGGGAGAGGAGGUACCUAUUUAUGCAAGUAUGAAGCCAACCAUAGCCGUAUAUCUCUUCUUGGAUCUAACGGUGGGGUUUAAAUCACCCACAAUCAUCGCACUCAUUAUUUAGAUGUACACUUAUUGUAUUGCCCCUUUCCAAGGAGUAUUUUAGAACACCCUAGGACUUCCGGAAACUGGAGAGUCAUUUGUUCAUGGAUGGGUCACAACCCUUUACUUGGGAAACUUUUGGAGCGCAUCAAUUUCUUGGGUUGUGGCACUUCUCACUUCCAUUUAUCUCGGGAUCAAUCUCAUGAGCUCUUCAACCGGAUCGAGAGUGCGAGUACGACAUCUAAGGUCACUCCAGCCGAAGUUGCGAAGCAAUUGAUGAAAUGCGACAAACUAGAGGCCACUCUCGGGGACAUGGUUUCCUUCCUCACGAAUCACAAUAGGAAAGAAAAUGAAAAAGUGAUCAAGAAGAAAGUUCGUGGUCUCAAUUGAUUGUAGAAAUUGGAGGAAAUAAAGCAGCGAAGGUGAGCUAAUUGAAAAAUAAAUAAUACAUAUCAACUGUAAUGGUAUGUUUCCAUCGAUUUUAUCUAAAUUAUUAUAGAGUUCUUUGUAUUAAGCAUGAUAAUAUGACAACUAGACUCGUCAAACUAACAAGUCGAGUCAGACCCUAUUUGAAAACAAUCCAAUCCUAAAUGUAAAUUUGGGUACCCAUAUCCGACUUGGCUUGGUUUCUAUGUUUAGCAAUUUUUUCUUUAUGAAUUGUUGUCUUGAAGAAUAGGCGACUCCAUGGACUAGCUCGUCGAGUUACUGAGGGAGCUCGGGGUUCAGUUAUAGACAAGAGAAUUAAAGUGGCGGUGAAAGUCCAGCCUGGGCCUUGCAUAAGUCAUGAAAGAGUUUGGGCUUUAAACUCAUUUCCUGUUAUUUGUAAAAUCUUAAAUGAUCCACAUGCAACCUGGCCCAUAGAAUGUGAAUUGAAAGACGGGUUCACACCCCCCAUGUCUUGCUCCAAUGCAACUUAUCGGUUUGAAGUGGCGCAUCCGGCAGCUGACCAGUAAGAUUGUCUCCAAGUCAUGAGGAAGGAAUUACAUGUCUGAACAGCUGAUGAUCGGCUUAAACUUUUCUCUUCCUCAAGUCACGUAUCAGCUAAUCCGAAUAAACCCUUUAUAUACUAGCAAACGUUCCUGAAGAUUCCUGUGCAACUAAUAACAAAAUCAGAGGGGGUAAUUCACAUAGACAUUUCACCAGGCAUGUGGGCGACAACAUGCAUAUUUCCAACAGAAAAGAACCCAUCACUUAUUUGGUCGAGUCGUUUCAUCGCAAUGAUAGAGGACCAAGCAGAAAAAAUCGACUUUCCAAAUUGAGCUAAUUACUUGAGCAAGUCCUAGAAGGAAGAGAUAGAAGGGCUACAUGAAUGAUUUACACGAAGUGUGGUUUUAAUGAAAAUUAUGAGUCCGAGUAGAAUGAAAAUAUCAAAAUAAAUGUGGUGAAAAAUGGCGCUCGACAAGUCUUACCUUUGUCGAUCCUUAGAACCUGCCUAAAUAAAUGAAGAAAAUAAUGACUAGGACUAAAAACACUCAAGUUAAAUUGUUUUUUUUUUUUUUUUUGUGACCGAGGAUCUGCUGGAGCAUGCCCUUGUUGGCUUACACCAAUUCGGGGUCUCACGGGCCUCCGUAGUGGAAGCCCAAUAGCGACUAUACCUCGAGGGAAGUUGGUCCAACAACCCCCGACUUAAAUCGCUAGUAACGCGAGGAUUCAAACUCUCAAUCGUAUCGAAGCAUGGGAGAACGAAUACCAACACGAACACUCAAGUUAAAUCGUUCAACAUUAAUAAAUUGAACAAAAUUUUUGACUCCCUUUUCAAAGAUGGCCUAAUUAAAUUAAUUGAAGGCUGUGUAAUUCCAAAUAAAGAAGAUUUAGAAAACAAAAGAAUAUUGCAAGUGGCACCAUUUAUGGAGCGAUAACACAAUUAACCGUGUUGUUUUUAAGAGAACAAUUUAGUAGAGAAAAAUUAAAUUUGCCAAAUGAUUGAUAACCAUUGAUUAUUUAAUUUUAAAAAUCGAAUGGUUGAUGAAUCAUUUAAUUCUUUUAAUAUGUUGACAUAAAAAAAAAAAAAAAACCAAACUUGUGGUUGUUAUUGAUAAUUGGCAAACUCAAUCGAUGAAGACCCUUAAUCAGAACAAUCAAUAAAGAUAACUCGCUAGUGAAGUCAUUGACCACAUACAACAUGAACUUAUUGACGAGAGCCUUCAUCAAGACUUGAGAAAUGGAUCGACAAAGUUAUCAACAACGAGCAAUUAACAUAAAAAUACAAUUGUUGGUUGAUUAUAUCUAUUGCCACUAACUAGGAUUUUUGUUCCUUGCAGGUAAGUGUUACCAAAUAAAUUCUUGCCAAUAAGUGUUGCACGGAGUAACUUCUCAUAAUCGCUAAUCGGAUUAAAUAGUUACUUCUUUAUUUAAAUUAUAAAACUGUUGGUUUUAACCAUUGGUGGUGAGUUAUAAAUAUCCAUAUCGUACUCUUGUAAGAGAUCCCCAUCAAUCAAUCAAUGAAUUCGAGUUCUUCUGCAUAUUUAUCUACCUUUAUUUUUCUGUAAUUUAUAUGAUCGGCUGCAAUUGCCUCUAAUUUCCAUAACUCUAAAUACAUUGUCAUUUUACUUUCCAGUCCAAAAUCAACGAAAGACCUUUCACAACCUUUAUCGAUUCACUUAUUCGACACAUUUUGAUGAAGCUUAAUCUAAUUAACAAGCAAUGAGGACGAUGAGUUCAUCACUUGGGUUACAACCAGGGAUACAACACUUGUGGUUGGUUAUAAGACCUGAGUGAAGCUCAGCUGCUACAACAGUUUUAAAGUUGCCCUAACUCACCCUAGACGUGGAGAGUUAUUAUACUCCCUUAUCCGAUAAUAAUCAAUACCGAAAUAUUGACAUCGUGUCUACCUUUAUUACCGUCAUGUCCUCAAUUCCUACUUUUAUUUUUCUUCCCUAGUAAGAAGGAAUACGGGAGGUGAUAACUGUGGGGCCCUCCAUCCCAAGACUUAUCUCUCAGCUGUUCGUCUCUUUUGAGCCUUUUAGGACCAUUUAGGUCCAAUCAGAGGAAAUUUAUUUCAAACUUAAUUAUUUGGGGUUGCCUAGAACACGACAGGCUUUUGCAAAAGCAGAGAAAAUGGUCCAACCGAAACUAGUCGUAUUCAUAUCGGUGCAGCGUAAGUCAAGGAGGAAUCGUUGAAUAAAAUAUUUCAAGGUGCAAGUGAUUGGUAAAAUGGAUACCACGUGAGGACCCCCCUAACUUUUCUUGUCAAUAAAAAUUCAACUUUAAACACUCUAGCCAAUCAGUAAACAAGUUUACACACUACCUAAUUAAAUUAAAAUAGAAAUGGAAUGUGCCGUGGACAAGUGGUCUUCGCCUUCUCAUUUUGAUCUGCCGUUCUCAUAUUCAUCGCCAAUUUCAUCUCCCGAUUUCUGCCGGUCGAGUGCCGCCUGUACCAAAUAGAUCGGACCGGAAAAAGAAUGGCAACCCCAGCUCCGGACGACUUCGGGAACCACAUCGUGGUGGCCAAGGCGGCGCUAUCUGCCACAGCAUCCGUGACGGCCACCAUGAUGGUCGUGCGGUCAGUGGUUCAGCCAUUCCUCCCCCGUGAACUCCGGGGCUUCCUCUUCUCUGGGAUCCGUGGCUUCCUGUCUCGCUUCUCCAACGAAAUGACCAUGGUCAUUGACGAGUACGAUGGGAUCAACCCGAACGAGCUCUUCCAGGCGGCCCAAAUGUUCUUGCCUGCCAAGCAAUUCCCUUCAAUGGUGGUGCGGUCGGUGGUUCGACCCUUCAUCCCCCGCGAAUUCCAGGACUUCCUCUUUGACUUCCUCAUUUCCAGGAUCCGCGGCUUCUCGUCUCGCUUCUGCAACGAAAUGACUAUGGUCAUCGAACGGCACGACGGGUACGCCCAAAACGAGCUCUUUGGGGCGGCCCAGGUUUUCCUGGCCGCCAAGCAAUCCGUUUCCGUACGGCGCGUGCGAGUGACCAAGUCCACGAAGGAGACCCACUCCACUGCGGCUAUUAUUGACCAGAAUCAAAUGCUCGUGGAUACGUUUCACGGGGUCAAAUUGAAGUGGGCUUUGGUGUCAAGACAAGUCGGCUCGGGCAACCGAGUUCAUCAAGGCCCAAACUCAACGGUUCAACACGGAGAUCAGUACUUUGAGCUCACUUUUGACAAGAAACAUGUGGAGAUCGUGGACAAAUCCUAUCUGCCUUUCGUCAUGGACCAGGCCAAGUCCAUAAAGCAGGGGAAGAAGACGUUGAAACUUUACACUGCAAGCUCUAACAGUAAUUUUUUGUAGAACGUUUUGUUGGAAUCAUCGGAGUUAUCUUUAAAUAUAUUCAAUUCUACCAUUAGAAGUGGAAAGGGAGUGAUAUUAAGGUUCCCUAACUUCCACGAAAAUGUUUUCCGGGUUUUCCAACUCUCUAUUCGUGAAAAAUAAACUAAUUAAGGAAAACAUUUUCUGCUAUUGAAAAAAAAAUUUCAAAAGUGGGUAAAAUUUUUUCUACUUUCCUGUAACUUUUUUCACCAUACUUUCUUUCACCAAUCACAUUUUCCUUAUAUUUUUAUGCUUUCUUUUUUCUUCUUUUAAAAAUUUGAUUUUUUCAUUUUUUUUUUCCUUUUCUUUUUCUUCCUCCUUGGUUAGUCGCCGGCCACAAGCAACUUGAGUCUCGUCACAAGCUGUUAAGGCCAGCGAUGCCUUGAGCCCAACUUGCCUCAAGCAAGCUCUAGCUUGUUAACCUUGGUGAAGCUCGAGCUCACUUGGAUCAGCAUAGCCUCAAGCUCCUGACUCGCGUCUUGGUCGGUUGUCGAGGAGCCAACCAUUGUUGAGGCACGCAGCGGCGGAGGAAGGAGGAGAAAGAAGGAAGAAGAAGGAAGAAGGAGGAAGGAAAAGAAAAAUAAAGAAAAAUAAAUAAAUAAAAAUUUAAUUUUUAAAAAUAUAUAAAAACUAAAAUUAAUUGUUUUGGUCAAUUAAAAAAUAAAAAUUUAUUCUUUUCGUAAUUUCUUAGAAAAACAAAUUAGAUACCGAAUGGUGAAAAAUAUUUUUCAAUUAAUUUUUAGAUUUCUAUCGAAAACAAGAAAAUAUCGUUAUUUUCUUGUAAAAUGCUUUUUUAAAAAUAUUUUUCGAAAACAUGAUAUUUUUAAGCGGAGUCUAGAUUCAUAAAAAAACUUUUCAGCUCAAUCAAACUAGUUAGAAGUCCAGCCCAAAAAUAACUACUUGUUACAGAAAAGUUCAUAAGUAAAAUCCUAAAGACCAUUAAGGUCAAAAUUCACUAGAACAAGUCUUGCACCUUCUUAUAUAUUAUUCUGCCCUCAAUUUCUUCAACAGAAAAUUGAAUUUUGUAUCUCCAUCUUUGUUUCCUCUUUAGGUUCAUUCUCGGGCCCAUGGUCCUCGGUGAACCUCGACCACCCGGCGACGUUCCAGACAUUGGCCAUGGACCUAGAGCUCAAGAAGAAGAUCCUCGACGACCUCGACAUGAGAGUUGGCAAGGUGUGGAAAAGAGGGUACCUAUUGUACGAACCCCCUGGAACAGGAAAAUCAAGCUUGGUCGCUGCGAUGGCCAAUCACUUGAACUUCGACAUAUACGACCUAGAACUGAGUGGGCUUCGGAGCAAUGCGGACCUCAGGAGAUUGCUCGUCGCCACUGCGAAUCAGUCCAUAUUGGUGGUCGAGGACAUCGAUUGCACCAUUCAGUUGCAAGAUAGGAAUCCAAGAACACGAGCCGCCAGCAUGAAUCCAAUGUUGAUGUGUUAUCAACAACAAGAUUAAGUACAAAUUCUUCUUUUUUGCUUUCUUUUUUAAUAUGAGGUCUAGUUCAAUCUGCGUACUAUGAAUAUGAUUUGUCCUUGAUGUUUAAUUCAUGUUUGUACCUACAACAAUAUUUUUUUUCCCUAAUGAAAUAGGUGACGUUGUCCGGAUUUCUCAACUUCACCGAUGGGCUUUGGUCAAGCUGCGGCAAUGAGCGAAUCAUAGUCUUCACGACAAACCAUGUUGAGAAACUAGACCCGGCCAUAUUGCGCCCAGGGCGCAUGGAUUUGCACAUUCCCAUGUCCUAUUGCACCCCUUGUGGGUUCAGGCUUCUAGCUUAUAAUUAUCUCGGGAUCGAUCAUCAUGAGCUUUUCAACCAAAUUGAGAGCAUGAUCACGAUGGCUAGAGUCACUCCAACUGAAGUAGCGGAGGAGUUGAUGAAGUGCGAUGAAUCGGAGAUCGUCCUCAGGGACAUGGUUUCCUUCCUCACCAAUCACAAGAGGAAAGAAAAUGAAGAAGCCAUCUAGGAGAAAGUUUGUCGCUCUCAAUUGAUCGUAGAAAUUGGAGGGAGUGAAGAAGAAAGCAGCAAGGGCGAGCUGAUUGAAAAAUAAAUAAUACAUGUCGACUGCAAUGGUAUGUUUCCACCGAUGUUAUUUAGAUUAUUAUAGAGUUCUUUGUAUUAAGCAUGAUGAUGUAUGACAACUAACCCCGUCAUACUGAUGGGUUGGGACAGGUCAGGUCGGGUAAAAAAUAGUCGGGCCUUAAAAUGCAAAUUUGGCAACCCAUGUUUGACAUGAUUCAAGAUCUACUUUUAGCAAUUUUUUCUUUUAAAAAUUGUGGUCUUUGGAGAAUAGGCGGCUCCAUGGAUUGACUUGUCGAGUUGGUGAGGGAGCUUGGGGUUCGGUUAUAGACAGAAGCGUUAAAGUGGUGGUGAAAGUCCGGUCCGGGCCAUCCAUAAAUUGUUCGGUCUCUAAACUCUUUUCACUUAUUUGUAGAAUUUUAAAUGACCCGGAUGCAACCUGGCCCAUAGAAAGUAAACUGAAAAAUGGGUUCAGACCCUUAUGUCUUGGCAGCUGACCAGAAAGAUUUUCACUAAGUCGUGAAGAAGGAAUUACAUAUCUCAACAGCUGAUGAUCGGCUUAAACUUUUAUCUUUAUCGUGCUCACGACAAGUGUAAGCUAAUCGGAAUAAACCCUUUACAUACUACCUGUAAUUCAACUGGCCGAACUAUUAUACUAGUCACCGUUGGUUGCUGAAGAUUCCUACGCAACUAAUAGGAAAAUCAGAAGGGGAAAUUCACAUGGAAAUUUCAUCGAGCAUGUGGGCGACAACAUGCAUAUUUCCAAUAGAGAAGAACCCAUAUACUCAUUCGGUAGUCAUUUCGUCGCAAUGAUAGAAGACCAAGCAGCAAAAAUCGACUUUCGGAAUUGAACUAAUUACUCGAGCAACUUUUAGAAUAAAGGCAUAAAAGAGCCAUAUGAUUGCUUUACACAAAACGUGAUUUUAAUGUAAAUUAUGAGUUGGAAUAUGAGUAUGACCCAGAUAAAAACAUUGAAAUAAAUAUGGCAAAAUUGGUUUUCGACAAGUCUCUGUCUUUAAACCCUGCCAAAAUAAAAGAAAAAAUAAUGACUAGUGCUAAACACACUCAAGUUAAAUCGUUCAACAUUAAUAAAUUGACUUCCUUUUGAAAGAUGGCCUAAUUAAAUUAACCAAAGACCGUGUAAUUCCAAACAAAGAAGAUUUAGUAAACACAAAAAUAUUGCAAGUGGCACGAUUUAUGGAGCCAUAACACUGUUAAUUGUGUUGUUUUCAAGAGUUCAAUUUAGCAAGGAAAAGUCAAAUUUGCCAAAUGAUUGGUGACCUUUAAUUAUUUAAUUAAAAAAGUCUAACGGUUGAUGAAUCAUUCAAUUCUUUAAAAAAGGGAAUAUGUCGACAUAAAAAAAAAGAAAAGAAACUGAUCAAACUUUUGGUUAUUAUUGACAAAUGGCAAACUUAGUUGAUGAGGAUACUUUAUCAAAAAAAUCAACAAACUUGAAGAAUAGGUAACUCGCUAGUGGAAUCAUUAACCAUACACAACGGGAUAAGUACACUAAUGGUGCCAUAAGUUGUGUAUGGCGCUCACUUUAGUGCCAAAAGUUUCUAUCGGAUCAUUUAAGUGUCAAAAAAUUUGAAAAAUGCUCACUUUGGUGCCAAUGCCGAUCUGAUCGGCCGAAAAUCUGACGUGACCUUUUUUUUAUUAAUUUCUUAUGCUGAUGUGGCUCGCCAGAGUUUCCAUUGGAUCACUUAGGCCUUCAAACGAUGUUGUUUUGGCAUCCUAACACCAAAACGACGCCGUUUUGUGUCUUUCCCCCAAAUUCAAAACCCUAAAUCCCCAAAUGACGCCGUUUUGUGUCGUCUUCUUCCUUGAACAGAUCCAGCAACACCAACAGCGCCGAACUAGCAACACUAGUAGCGCAGAACCGUUUUGUGUCGUCUUCUUCCUUGAACAGAUCCAGCAACACUAACAGCGCCGAACUAGCAACACUAGUAGCGCAGAACCGGCAACACCAGUAAUUUUCCAGAAAAGAAACCACGCAUUCGCCUCCGCCCUCCCCCAGUAGUUUUCCCCAUUUUCAAUCACCUUAUCAACCUUUCAAAUCCCCAAAUCUCAGCCCCACCACCGCCUUUUCUCAAGGAAUAUCGUUGGGUGCAGAGGAAACGCGAGCUUGAAGAAUCUCCAGAAGCACAGGCGAUCUGGCCAAUGGUAGCUGCGAAGAUCUGGAACGCCACGGAGGUUGUCAACGAAGUCAAUUGCUACGAAGGCGGCGGCCGUGGCCCCACCAUCCCCUCCUUCGCCCUCAUUGUCAACACCUCCCUCUCUCUUGGGAUUUUCUGUUCGUUUUUUUUUUCUUUUGUCUUGCUAUGGCAAGCAACUACGAUGGAGGUCGAGGGAUGGCGGCUGAGUGACGGUGGCCGAGGGACGACAUCAAAGUGAUGGUGGACGAGGGACGGCGGUUGAGCGACGGCGGAUGAGCAAUGGCAGACAAAAAAACCCUAAUUUCAAUCUCCAAAUAAAAUAAAAUAAAAAACGGCGUCAUUUUUGUGAGGUUAUCCACGUAGGAUGGCAAAACGACGUCGUUUUCUUAAGGAAGACGGAAAACGACGUCGUUUAAAAGGCUUCUCGAUUUUUUUUUUUAAAUAUAAAAGCCACGUAAUCAUUUUGGCCGGAAUCUGUCGUCGGUGGCACCAAAGUGAUUGUUUUUCCUCCGAUUUGGCACUUAAGUGAUCUGGCGGACUUUUGGCACCAAAGUGAGCGCCGUACACAACUUAUGUCACAAUUAGUGUACUUAUCUCCAUACACAACAUGAAAGUUAUCGACAAGAGCUUUCAUCAAGACUUGAGAAAUUGAUUUCCUAGUUCCAGGGCUUCCUCUUCUCCAAGAUCCAUGGCUUCUUGUCUCGCUUCUGCAACGAAAUGACCAUGGUCAUCGAACAGUACGAUGGGUACAACAAAACGACCUCUUCGGGACGACUCCGAUUCUCCUGGCCACCAAGCAAUCCCUUUCGAUGCAGCGCGUGCGACUGACCAAGUCCCCGAAGGAGAACCACUUCACUCUGGCUAUGGACCGGAAUCAAAUGCUGGUGGAUACGUUUCACGGGGUCAAACUCAAGUGGGUUUUCUGUCGAGACAGGUCGACUUGGGCCACCAAGUCCAUCAAGGCUCCACGGUUCUGCACGAAGUUCAGCACUUCGAGCUUAGUUUUCACAAGAAACACAGGGAGAUCGUGGUCAAAUCCUAUGUGUCUUUCCUCAUCGACAAGGCCAAGUCCAUAAAGCAGGGGAAGAAGACGCUGAAGCUAUGCACUCCGGGCUCCGACGGCAAUUAUCUUUAACUAUGUUCAAUUCUACUAUUAGAAUUUAGGAGUGAAAAGCUGUGAUGCUAAAUUCACAAAAACUUCGUUCAAUCGGACUAAGUCGGAAGUACCAUAUAAAGUCCAGCCAAAAAUAAGUACUAGCUACAUAAAAGUUAAUCAGUAAAAUCCUAAAGCACAUUAAGAUCAAAAUUCACUCGAACCAGCUCGCACCUUCUUGGUCGAGUUGUGGCGAUGAGUGGAUCAUAGAUUUCACGACGAGCCACAUUGAGAAAUUAGACCCAGCCCUCUUGUGCCCAGGGUGCAUGGACUUGCAUGUUCCUAUGUACUAUUGCACCGCUUGUAGGUUUAGGCUUCUUGCUUCUAAUUAUUUUGGGAUUGAUCACCAUGAGCUGUUUGACCAGAUCGAGAGUGCGAUCACAACAGCGACAGUCACUUUGGCCGAAGUAGUAGAGCAGUUGAUGAAGAGCGACUUGAAGACAUGGUUUACUUCCUUGCAAAUCACAAGAGGAAAGAAAAUGAAGAAGUCAAUGAGGAGAAAGUUUGUCGGUUCCAAUUGGUUGAAGAGAACGGAGGGGGUGAAGAAGAAAGUGGUGAGUGCGAACUAAUUGAAGAAUAAACAACAAACACCGACUAUGUUGGUACUUUCCAUCGAUUUUAACUUAAGAGUGUUAAAAAAAUCUCGAUUAUUAUGGAUUCAAUCACAAAAGUGAUUGAUGGAAAGCUAUUGUAUCCUCAUCCAAAUUAUUAAUAAUUUGAGUCAAAUGAUAAAAUCACGUGAUCAAACAGAAUAAAUUAACUCGGUUUAUAUGAUCUACAAGCUAUGUGAUAUUUUUUAAUGAUUGAUAUUCAUAUCAUGCCGACGGCUUCUUGUAGUUACCGCGGCAACAACACAUAAUCGGACACUAAUGAUGGUCUCAUGUUUUGGGCCUUCCUUGAAAUAUUGAAUUUGCUUGGGUCGGCUGAAAAACAUUCAUUACUUAUCCGAUUUCUAGACCAACCAUUGGGGUCAAGGUCAUUUCGGUCUUUUUUUCUCUAUGGGGCAAGAUAGAAAAUUUCCUUUUUCUCUUUUUCUAUUAAUAUUAAAGAAGGUUUGGACUUAUUGGAGCAUUCAACUAAUUGUUAUUGAUAUGAUAAUCAUCCAUGCAGGGGAUUAGCAAAAGCAAACCAAGGACAAAAGGCAUAGUACAGGGCAAGUUAAGGACAUAUACGAGAAAAAUAUAUUGCAAGUUUUAAAACUUAUUACAAAAGUGCAAUUGAGUCUUGAAAUUUUUAAAAAGUGCAAUUAAAUCAUAAAAUUUAUGGAAUUGGUGCAAUCAAAUCAUUCCACUACGGAAAAUGCUGACUUCCCUCUUACAUGGCGAUAACGUAGUUAAAAUGACGUUAUUUUGGUUCAAAUUUGUUUUUAGAUACAAAUUGUAUUUAAAUUAAAUUAAAAAUUAAGAAAUUUAAAAAAAAAUAAAAGCAGAAAGGGCGAGCGAGGGUUUGCAACCCUUGGGGCUGGUGCCCUUGCCGACCAUUCCCCAUCCCGGUGAUUUAGGAUGGUAGCGACGAAAAGGGUUGCAAACCAUUGCCCCCCUCUCCCUCCUUUGUUUUUCCCCAAAGUUUUCUUAUUUUUAAUAUAAUUAAUAUUAAAUUAAUAUUAAAAAAUUGAAUUUGGACUAACAUGACGUGGCUUUAGUCAUGAUGGUACCACGGAGAAAAAAGAAAAUAAUAAAAAGAACCACAUCAUUGUUUUUCAUGACUCAAAUGAGAUGGAGUUAAUAUAAUGACAUGAUUGCACCACAUUGAUAAGUUUUAUGAAUUAAUAGUAUUUUUUAAAAAUUUAAAAAUUUAAUUAUAUAUUUUUUAAUAAGUUUUAAGAUUUUUAUUGUAUCUAAUGAUCGAUCAUUCUAAAUAUAACUGAUUUAUUAGGAAUGUGAUCUUAAAAUAGUGCGCGCGAAUCAAUAAAUGAGUUUAUACUAUCUAAUUAAAUUAAAUUGAAGUGGAACGUGCGUGGUUUUGCCUUUACCUCGAGAUGCAAUCAUUGAAUUGGAUAAUUAGAUGGGAUUGGUCGAUCCGAUUGUAACGUCAAAAGCAAAGGGUACGAAGACCUGGACAAAGAACAGUGCAUGAAUCAGCUUAGUCGAGUAGGUAACACAAAAAGCAUCAGGCGUGGUUUUGUGACUUUUGUCCCUUUGUGCUUUCCAGCUGGGUAUUCCAGUGGGGAUGUCGCUAGCCCUCCCUUUUAAAUCCAAGACCGACGCUCGUUGACAGUAACAUAUCCAUCUCCAAUUCUCCCACACCAUCUUAAUACCAAACAGAGUAAACCGAAAAGAAUGGCGACCACGCCGGCUCCGGACGACUUCAGGAACCCCGUCACGGUGGCCAAGGCCGUGCUGUCUGCUGCGACCUCCGUGACGGCCACCUUGAUGGUGGUGCGGUCGGUGGUUCGACCGUUCGUCCCCCGCGAAUUCCAGGACUUCCUCUCCUCUGGGAUCCGCAGCUUCUUGCUUCGCCUCCGCAACGAAAUGACCAUGGUCAUUGAACCGUACGAUGGGUACGCCCAAAACGAGCUCUUCGAGGCGGCCCAGGUUUUCCUGGCUGCCAAGCAAUCCGUUUCGGUACGGCGCGUGCGAGUGACCAAGUCCACGAAGGAGAGCCACUCCACUCUAGCUAUUAUUGACCGGAAUCAAAUGCUGGCGGAUACGUUUCACGGGGUCAAAUUGAAGUGGGUUUUGGUGUCGAGACAAGCCGGCUCGGGCAACCCAGUUCAUCAAGGCCGGAAAUCAGCGGCUGAACACGGGGAGCAAUACUUCGAGCUCACUUUUGACAAGAAACACAUGGAGAUCGUAGACAAAUCCUAUCUGCCUUUUGUCAUGGACGAGGCCAAGUCCAUAAAGCGGGAGAAGAAGACGUUGAAGCUAUACACUUCGAAAUGCAUCGGUAAUUUUUGCAGAACAUUAUGUUGGAAUCAUCGGAGUUAUCUUUAAAUAUGUUCUGUACUACUAUUAGAAGUGGAAUAAGAGUGAUACUAAGGUUUUCAUUUCACAAAAAAUAAUUUCCACAAUUUUUUUUUUUUGCAAAUUUUUCGAUGUUUGAUUCGUGAAAAAUAAACUAGUUAAGAAAAACAUUUUAUGCUAUUGAAAAAAAAAAGACCUUUAAGGGUAGGGAAAUUUUUUUGAAUAUUUUAGAAGAAGGAAAAUAUUUUCCAUAACUUCUUUUACCUUACUUUCUUUCAUCAAAUGCAUUUUCCUUUUAUUUUUAUGUUUUUCUUUUAAAAAUCGAGUUUUUAAUUUUUUAUUAUUUUUCCUUUUCUUUUUCUUCUUCCUUUGUUGGUUGCCAGCCACAAGCUAGUUUGAGCCUCACCACAGGGCGACAAGGUUUGAGCUCGUCAAAUAUUGACCAAGUUUGAGCUUGCCAACUUGUGGUGAGGCAAUCUGGCCAAUUGGAGCUCGCUCGAGGCCAGAUUCGGUGAGCCCCAAGCUCGCCUAGAUUUGGCGAGCCAUGAAUCCUCGUGGAGCUCGGGCUCGCCUGGAUCAACCAAGCCUCGAGGUCUCCAACUUGCGUCUUGGCUAGUUGCCAAGUAGCUUGCCAUUGCCAAGGUACAUGCCAGCGGAGGAAGGAGGAAUGAAAAGAAAAUGAAAAAAAAAUUCUAUUUAAAAAAAAAAAAAUCAUUUUUUUAAAAAGUAAAAAGAUUAACAUUAAUUUUUUUGGUCAAUUAAAAAAAUAAAAUUUGAUUUUUGUGGUAAUUUUUUUUUAUAGAAAAUCAAAUGAGAUACCGAAUGGUAAAAAAAAAUUUUCACUUCAUUUUCAAGUUUUAAUAGAAUACCAAAAACUAUUGUCAUUUUCUUGGAAAUUAACUUUUUGAAAAAUGUUUUUUAAAAACAUGAUAAUUUUUGGAAAACAAACAGAACCUAAAUACACAAAAAAAAAAAAAACAUUUCAGCUCAAUUGGACUAGGCAAAAGUAUCAUAUAACUUAAAGUCCUGCCCAAAAAUAACUACUUGCUACAAAAAAAAUUCUUUAAGUGAAAUGCUAAAGAACAUUAAGGUCAAAAUCUACUGUGAUUCUGCCCUCAAUUUCUUCAGCGGAAGACUGAAUUUUGUAUCUCCAUCACAAUUUGUUUCCUCUAAAGGUCUGGGCCCGGGCACGUGGUCCUCGGUGAACCUCGACCACCCAGCGACAUUCCAGACAUUGGCCAUGGACCUAGAGCUCAAGAAGAAGAUCCUUGACGAUCUCGAUAGGUUCGUGAGGAGGAAGGAGUACUACAGGAGAGUUGGCAAGGCGUAGAAAAGAGGAUACUUAUUGUACGGACCCCCUGGAACGGGGAAAUCGAGCUUGGUCGCCGCGAUGGCCAAUUACUUGAACUUCGACAUAUACGAUCUAGAACUGAGCGGGCUCCACAGCAAUGAAGAGCUGAGGAGGCUCCUCGUUGCCACCAAGGAUCAAUCCAUAUUGGUGGUUGAGGACAUUGAUUGCACCAUUCAAUUGCAAGAUAGGAAGUUGGAAACACAAGCCGCCUACAUGAAUCGGAUGCCGAUGGGUUAUCAGCAAAAAGAUCGAGUACCGCUUUUUCUUUUUGCUUUCUCUUUUAGUAUAAAGUCUAGUUCAAUUGUUGCAUACCAUGAAUAUGAUUUGUCCUUGACAUUUAACUCCUAUUUGUCAUACAACGUUAAUUUUCUUCUCAUGGAAUAGGUGACGUUGUCCGGAUUCCUCAACUUCAUAGACGGGCUUUGGUCGAGUUGUGGCAAUGAGCGGAUCAUUGUUUUUACAACGAACCACAUUGAGAAAUUAGACCCAGCCCUAUUGCGCCCGGGGCGCAUGGACUUGCACGUUCCCAUGUCAUAUUGCACCUCUUUUGGAUUUAAGCUUCUUGCUUCUAAUUAUCUUGGGAUCGAUCACCACGAGCUCUUCGACCAAAUUGAGAGUGCAAUCACAACGGCUAGAGUCACUCCGGCCGAAGUAGCGGAGCAGUUGAUGGGGUGCGAUGAACCAGAGGUCGCUCUUAGAGACAUGAUUUUGUUCCUUGUUAAUCACAAAAGGAAAGAAAAUGAAGAAGUCAUUGAGGAGAAAGCUGGUCAGUCCCAAUUGAUUGAAGCGAAUGGAGGGGGUGAAGAAUUUGAAGAAUAAACAAUAAAUAUCGACUGUGUUGAUAUGUUUCCAUCGAUUUUAACUUAGAUUAUUAUAAAGAUCUCGAUUAUUAUGGAUUCAAUCAUUUGUGAUUGAUGGAAAGCUAUUGUAUCAUCAUCCGAAUUAUUAAUAAUCUAAGUCAAAUGAUAAAAUCACAUGAUCAAAUAGACUAAAUGAACUUAGUUUAUAUAAUAUAUGAGCCAUGUGAUAUUGUCUAGUGAUUGAUAUUCAUAUCAUGCCGACGGUAUAAUUUUCUUCAUGUAGUUAUCGCGUCAAGGACACAUAAUCAGACACUAAUGAUAAUCUCAUGUUUUGGGCCUUUCAUGAAAUAUUGAAUUUGCUUGGGCUCAUUACCUACCCGAUUUAAACCAACCAAUGGGGUCAAGGUCAUUACGGUCUUUUUAUUCACUAUGGGCGAGAUAGUAAUUUUCUUUUUCUCUUUUUCUUUUAAUAUUAAAGAGGGUCCAGACUUAUUUGAGUAUUCAACUAAUUCUCAUUCGAUACGAUAAUCGUCCAUGCAGGGAAUUAGCAAAAGCAGAUGAGGGACAAAAGGUUCCAAUUAGCGCUGGUUAUUCAUAUCGUGCAGGGGGAGUUAAGGAGAGAUAGUAAAAUAAAUCAUGGAAUAAGUGUACUAGAAGUCCUCAAACAUGUUAUGAAAGUAUAAUCUAGUUUUGAAACUUAUAGAAAGUGUAAUGAAAUCCUAAAAUUUAUUAAAUUAGUGCGAUGGAAUCACUUCAAUAUUGCCGUCUAAUUUGAAUAACGGAAAAUGCUGACUUUCCUCUUCCGUGGCAAUAAUGUUGCUAAAAUGACAUUAUUUUAGUUCAAAUUUGAUUUUAAAUACAAAUUAUAUUUAAAUUAAAUUUUAAAUUAAGAAAAUGUUUAAAAAAAUAAGAGUAGAAAGGGCAAGUGAGGAUUUGCAACCAACGGGGCAGCAACUCUUGCCGACCAUUCCCCAUCCUGGUGAUGUAGGACAGUGGCUACAAAAGGGGCUACAAACCCUUGCCUGCCUCUUCCUCUCUUUUUUUCCCCCCCAAGUUUUCUUAUUUUUAAUAAAAUUCAUAUUAAAAAAAAUGAACUUGGACUAACAUAACAUUGUUUUAGCAACGAGAGUGCCACCUAGGAAAUAGAAAGUAAUAAAAAAAAGUCACAUCACCAUUUUUUAUUAAUUAAGUUAGAUAGAGUUAAGAAAAAUAAUUUGAUACAUUUUAUGAUUUAAUAGCACUUUUCAAAAGUUUUAUAAUUCAAUUACACUUUCAUAAUAAAUUUUAAUAUUUAUAAUGUACCUAUCCCAUAAAUCAUUCUAAAUGAACCUAUUUAUUGGAAAUUUGAUCUUUAAAAUAGUCCACGUGAGUCAAUAAACGGGUUUAUACUAUCUAAUUAAACUGAAUUGAAGUGGGACGUGCGGGGUGUUGCCUUGCCUCGAGAUGCAGCCAUUGAAUUAGAUGAUUGGAUGGGAGGUCGAUCUGCUUGUAAUGUCAAAAUCAAAGGGUACGAAGACCUGGACUAAGAACAGUGCAUGAAUCAGCUUAGUCGAGAAGGGCGUGGUUUUGCAACUUUGUGCUUUCCAGCUGGGACUUCCCGUGAGGAUGUCGCUGGCUCUUCCUUUUAGAUCCAAGACCGACUCUCGUUGACGGUAACAUAUCCACUUCCAAUUCUCCAAUUCUCAUAUACCAUCUUAAUACCAAACAGAGUAGACUGAAAAGAAUGGCGACCCCAACUUCGAACGACUUCAGGAACCCCCUCGCGGUGGCCAAGGCGGUGCUGUCUGCUGCGACCUCCGUGACGGCCACCUUGAUGGUGAUGCGGCCGGUGGUUCGACCGUUUACCUCCCAUGAAGUCGAGUACUUCCUCUUCUCCAGGUUCCGCGGCUUCUUGUCUCGCUUCUGCAACAAAAUGACAAUGGUCAUCAAACCGUAUGAAGCGGACGCCCAAAACGAGCUCUUCGGGGCGGCCCAGGUUUUCCUGGCGGCCAAGCAAUCCGUUUCCAUACGGCGCGUGCGAGUGACCAAGUCCACAAAGGAGAACCACUCCACUCUGGCUAUUGUUGACCGCAAUCAAAUGCUGGUGGAUACGUUUCAUGGGGUCAAACUAGUGGGUUUUCGUGUCGAGACAAGUUGGCUCGGGCAACCGAGUUCAUCAAGGCCAUGACUCAGCGGCUCCACGCGAAGAUCAGUACUUCGAGCUCACUUUUGACAAGAAACACAUGGAGAUCGUGGACAAAUCAUAUCUGCCUUUCGUCAUGGACGAGGCCAGGUCCAUAAAGCAGGGGAAGAAGACGUUGAAGCUAUACACUCCGUGCUCCGACGGUAAUUAUCUUUAAAUAUGUUCAAUUCUACCAUUAGAAGUGGAAAAGGAGUGAUACUAAAUUCACAAAAAACUUUUCAGCUCAAUCAGACUAGUCAGAAGUAUCACAUAAAUUGUAAACAUACAAUUUAAAAAGUACAGCCAAAAAUAACUACUUGCUACAGAAAAGUCCAUAAGUAAAAUCCUAAAGAACAUUAAAGUCAAAAUUCACUAGAACCAGUCUUGCACCUUCUUAUAAAUGAUUCUGCCGACAAUUUCUUCAACAGAAAACUGAAUUAUGUAUGUCCAUCUUUGUUUCCUCCACAGAUCCAUUCCUGAGCCCAUGGUCGCCGGUGAACCUUGACCACCCAGCGACGUUCCAGACACUGGCCAUGGACCUAGAGCUCAAGAAUAAAAUCAUCGAUGAUCGAGACAGGUUUGUGAGGAGGAAGGAGUACUACAGGAGAGUUGGCAAGGCGUGAAAAAGAGGGUACUUAUUGUACAGACCCCCUAGAAUGGGGAAAUCGAGCUUGGUCGCCGCGAUGGCCAAUUACUUAAACUUCGACAUAUACGACCUAGAAUUGAGUGAGCUCUGGCGCAAUGCGGACCUCAGGAGAUUGCUCGUCGCCACAGCGAAUCAAUCCAUAUUGGUGGUCGAGGACAACGAUUACACCAUUCAUUUGCAAGAUAGGAAUUCAGAAACACGCGCCGCCAGCAUAAAUUCGAUGUUAAUCGGUUAUCAGCGAAAAUAUUAAGUACAAUUUCUUCUUUUUUGCUUUCUUUUUAAGUAUGAGGUGUAGUUCAAUUGCUGCAUACUAUGAAUACGAUUUGUUCUUGACGUUUAACUCAUGUUUGUACCUACGACAAUAAUUUUUUUUACUGAUGGAAUAGGUGAUGUUGUCUGGAUUUCUCAACUUCAUCGAUGAGCUUUGGUCAAGCUACGGCAAUAAGCGAAUCAUAGUCUUCACGACAAACCACAUUGAGAAACUAGACCUAACCCUAUUGCGCCCAGGGUGCAUGGAUUUGCAUGUUCCCAUUUCCUAUCGCACCCCUUGCGGGUUCAAGCUUCUUGCUUCUAAUUAUCUCGAGAUCGAUCAUCACAAGCUCUUUGACCAGAUCAAGAGCGCAAUCGUGACGGCUAGAGUUACUCUGGCCGAAGUAGCGAAGCAAUUGAUGAAAUGCCACAAAUUGAAGGUUGCUCUCAGGGACAUGAUUUCCUUCCUCACUAAUCACAAGAGGAAAGAAAAUGAAGAAGUCAUCAGGGAGAAAGUUCGCCGGUCUCAAUUGAUCGUAGAAAUUGAAGGGAGCGAAGAAGAAAGCAGCAAGGGCGAGCUGAUAGAAAAAUAAAUAAUACAUAUUGACUGUAAUGGUAUGUUUCCAUUGAUUUUAUUCAGAUUAUUAAAAAGUUCUUUGUUUUCAACAUCAUGAUAUAUGACAACUAGACUCGUCAUGUUGACGAGUUAGGUUGGUUCGAAUCGGAUCGAAAAUAGUCGGACCCUAAAAUGCAAAUUUGGCAACCCAUGUUCAAUAUGACUCAUGAUUUACUUUUAGCAAUUUUUUCCCUUAAAUCGUGGUCUUUGAAGAAUAGGUGUCUCCAUGGACUGACUUGUUAAGUUAGUGAGGGAGCUCGGAGUUCAGUUAUAGAUGAUAGUGUUAAAAUGGUGGUGAAAGUCUGGCCUAGGCCAUCCAUAAAUCAUGAAACGGGUUCGGCUUUUGAAGUCAUUUCUAGUAAUUUGUAAAAUUUUAAAUGACCAUAUGCAACUAGGCCCAUAGAAAGUGAAUUGAAGAAGGGGUUCACAUCCUUAUGUCUUGCUCUAAUGCAACUCGUCUUUAUGGGCAUAUUAAACUCCUAAACCGGUAGCUGAUUAGUAAGAUUUUCUCCAAGUCACGAAGAGGGAAUUAUUGGACUUGAGUAGGUCCUUAAAAGGCUCAAGAAAAAAGAAACAGGCGGGAAAUUCAUUUUGGAGUAGGAGACCCUGCAAUGUCACCUCCCAUAUUCUCACUCAUUCUAGAAGAAAAGCCUGAUUGGGAAUCAAGGGACCUAUCGGUGGUGGAGAUAGACACCACGUUCGUAUCUUAGUUCAAGCUACCAUUGAGUAGGAGAGUAUAAUAGCUCCUUAAACCUGAGGUGAGGUAGGGUGGCUUCAAAAGUACUGCUCAAGCCUAUCAACUGGCUGCUCACCUCGUACCCUUAGUUAAACACAACAGCCGAUGAUUGGCUUAAACUUUUCUCUUCCUCACGCUCACGACAAGUGUAAGCUAAUACCGAAUAAACCCUUUACAUACUAGCUGUGAUUUAAUUGGUCGAACCAAUUAUUCAAGUCACCGUUGCUGAAGAUUCCUGUACAACUAAUGGGAAAAUCAGAAGGGGAAAUUCAGAUGGACAUUUCAUCGAGCAUGUGGGCGACAACAUGCAUAUUUCCAAUGGAAGAACCCAUUGCUCAUUCGGUAAAGUCAUUUGGUCGCAAUGAUAGAAGAACAAGCAGGAAAAAUAAACUUUCCGAAUUGAACUAACCACUUGAGCAACUUUUAGAAGAAACACAGAGAAGGGCCAUAUGAAUGCUUUACACAAAACAUAAUUUUAAUGUAAAUUGUGAGUUGGAGUAUGAAUAUGACUCGAAUAGAAACAUUGACAUAAAUAUGGCAAAAAUGGUUUUCGACAAGCCUCGAUCUUUAAACCCUGCCAAAAUAAAAGAAAAAAUAAUGACUAGUGCUUAACGCACUUGAGUUAAAUCGUCCAACAUUAAUAAAUUGAAUGAAAUUUUUGACUACCUUUUGAAAGAUGGCCUAAUGAAAUUAACCGAAAACUGUGUAAUUCCAAAUAAAGAAAAUUUAGUAAAAACAAAAAUAUUGCAAGUGACACCAUGCCAUAACACUAUUGAUUAACACUAUUGAUUUUGUUAUUUUCAAUAGUUCAACUAAGUAGGGAAAAAUCAAAUUUGCUGAAUAAUUGAUGACCGUUGAUUAUUUAAUUUGAAAAAUCGAAUGGUUGAUGAAUCAUUCGUAAAUGUUGACAUAAAAAAAUGACCAAACUUUUAAUUAUUAUUGACAAAUGAUAAACUCAGUCGAUGGAGACACUUUAUCAAAACGAUCAACAAACUUGAAGAAUCGAAAACACGCUAGUGAACUUUUUGACCACACACAACAUGAAAGUUAUUGAUAGGACCUCUCAUCUAGACUUGAGAAAUGGAUGGACAAAGUCAUAAGUAAUGAGCAAUCAACAUAAAUAUAACUAUUGGGUAAUUAUAUUUGUUGCCACUAACUUAGGAUGUUUGUUUCUUGCAUAUAAGCAUUGCCGAAUAAAUUCUUAUAAAUAAGUGUUGCAUGGAGUAAAUUCUCAUAAUCCUAAUAGGAUUAACAAGUUACUUCUUUCUAUGAAUUGAAAAAGUAUUGUUCUAUAUUGUCGAUAGUGAGCUACAAAUACCCACAUCAUACUCUUGUAAGGGAUCUCCAUCAAUCAAUGAACUCAAGUUUUUUUUUGCAAAUAAAUCUUUAUCUUACAUAAUCGGUAGAAAUUGCCACCAAUUUCCAUAACUCUAGAUAAUGUCAUUUUACUUUUCUAACCAAAAUCAACUAAAGACCUUUCACAAUAUUUGUCAAUUCACUUAGUGAUACCUUUCGAUGAGCUGGAUUCUAAUUAAGAAGGGGUAAGGACAAAUGAGGUCAUCACUUGGGUAAUCAGAUGAGAUUUAUGUUUGAUGUAAUCAUUUAUGCUGCGUUUGCUCGUCCGGAUUUCUAUUAGGAUAGGACUGGAUUGGAUAUGAUAUGAAAUCCUAGGAUAUUUUUAUAUUCAGUCUAUUGUUUGGUGAAUCGUAGUAUUAAAGUCGAAUAUAUUUACAUCAUAUCAUGUACAUUUUUUUAUUAUAUAAAUGGCAUAUCAUUAUAAAUAAACCUAAAUGUUCAUAAACAGAGAUGGUGAAAAUCUCUCGUAACAUUAAUUUUAAUUUAUUUUUAAUUUAUUUUUCCUCUUUUUAUAUUAUUUUCUUUAUUAUUUCUUUUUUUUCCCUUUUGUCAUUAUUUAAUAAAAUUUUAUCAAAUAAUAAACUAUACUAAUAUACCUAAAAUACAAAAAUACCUAAAAUAUAUAAUAAAUUUAAAUAUUUAACUUAUAUAUUGAAUGUUUAUUAUAAAAUAAAAUUAAAGUUGAAUAAAUAAAUUUAAUAAGAUUAAUUUAAAAUAAAUUUCUAUUUUUUAUUUUUAAUUUCUUAAAUUAGAAUUCAAAUUAUUAUUUAUAUUGAAAUAUAAUUUUAAAUUUGUUAAUUUAAUAGGUUUGUUAUUCGAGAAAAAUAACUUUCCUAUUAUGGACAUUAGAAAUUAUAUCCACAUUUAUCACAUCUCUCUCAUGAAAUAAUUUUAUCCUGCCUAUAUCCCUCUUAUAUCUGACUUUAUCCUGUUCUGAGUGAGCAUCAAACAUAGGAUAUGAUAAUUCCAAAUUUUAUCCCGACUGCCAAACGUAAUCUUAGGGUUGCCCCUAUGACACGACUGGCUUUUGCAAAAGCAGAGAAAAGGGUCCAACUAACGCCGGUCCUAUUCGCAUUGGUGCAGCGCGAGUCAUGGGGGAAUCGUUAAAUAAAAAUAUUCAAGAUGUACGUGAUUGACAAAAUCGAUACCGCGUUUGGACCCUCAUAACUUUUCUUGUCAAUUAAACUCAACUUUAAUUGCUCUAGCCAAUCAGUAAACAAGUUUAUAUACUGCCGAAUUAAACUAAAAUUGAAUCGGAAUGUGCUGUGGACAAGUGGCCUUUGCCUUAUCAUCUGGUCUCCCCUUCACCCUCUAGAACUGCACAGCAAGAAAUCGAUCUUCCGUUCUCAUAUUCAUCGCCAAUUUCAUCUCUCGAUUCCGUCCGGUCGAGUGCCCUCUAUACCGGAGAGAUUGGACUGGAAAAAGAACGGCGACCCCAGCUCCAGGCUACUUCAGUAGCCCUGUUGCGGUGGCCAAGGCAGCACCAUCUGCCGUGGCGUCUGUCACGGCCACUGCGAUGGUGCAGAUUUCCAAUAUCAAAUUCGUAAGAAGAAUCAAAUUUUUGUUUUGACAAUUCAAUUAUAUUAUGUAUGAUGGUGCAGUCGGUGGUUCAACCAUUCCUCCCCCGCGAACUCAGGGCUUCCUCUUCUCCGGGAUCCGCGGCUUGCUCUCUUGCUUCUCCAACAAAAUGACGAUCGUCAUCGACGAGUAUGAUGUGAUUAACCCAAACGAGCUCUUCCAGGCAGCCCGGGUGUUCUUGCCUGCCAAGCAAUUCCUUUCGAUGAGGUGAGUCCCAAUGACCAAGCCCGCGAAGGAGGACGGCUUAAGUCUGGCUAUGGACCGAAAUCAAAUGCUGGUGGAUACGUUUUGUGGGAUCAAACUCAAGUGGGUUUUUGCGUUGAGACGGGCAACCGAGGCCUGAACUCGCCGCCGCCGCAGGAAGUUCAGUAGCUCACUUUUCACAAGAAACAUGAGGAGAUCGCCCGCAAGUCCUACCUGCCUUUCCUCGUCAGCGAGGCCAAGUCCAUAAGGCAGGAGAACAAGGCAUUGAAGAUAUACACUGCGAUCUUCGACCGCGGCUAUGGCAGUAAUUAUGGUCGAACAUUAAGUUGGAAUCAACGAAACCAUCAGUAACUACUUUCAGUUCUACUAUUAGAAGUGUGGAAAGGAGUAAAAUACUAAAUUUACAAAAGUUUUCAAUUCAAUCAGAUUGGCCGAAAAAGACAGAAGAACACUAGGAGUACUAGAACUUUUGUACAAUACUCACUUUAGUGCCAAAACUUUUUCUUUUUUUUUCCGCUCACUUGAGUAUCACAUUGGAGUAAAAUUGAUCACUUAAAUGCUAAUUCCGACAAAUCAUCCCUACAUGGAUUUUUUUGAUUUUAUUUUGAUUUUGCUUUUUUUUUUUUUGGCUUUUUUCCUUUAGGGUUGGUGAGGGUUAGGACAACUCUCGUCAACUGCAAAACCCUCACCCUCGGUUGCAAAGGCCCUGGGCAAGGUCAUCGAGGCCUCACUCGUAGACGGCAAGGUCGCGAUGCCCUCGCCAGCUUUGGGUGGCGUCACCUAUAGUCGUUGAGUCUGCGACACCCCCGCCUAGGGCCUUUGCGGUGAGGCGGCCCUCUCCCAGAUCUGGUCAUGAGGGCCCUAGGCGAGGACAUCGUGAUCUCAUUGAUCCUAGGUAAGGUGAUGUUGCUUGCGACUGCCUAGAGCUGGCAAGGGCCCUUGUGGCCUCGCCAAUAGCCAACAAGGCCUCAAUGGCCGCACAAGGACUUCAUGGCUAAGGUUGAGGGAUUCGUUGCUGGUGAGGGUCACAGGUGACCCUUGUUGGCCCUAAAAAAAAGAAGCAAAAAUUAAAAAAUAUUGAAAAUAUCAAAAAAUUGUCCACAUCAUACCAGUGAAGCCAUGUUAGACAACUUUUAUCAUCAUGUUGGAUGACUGGUGUCCAUGAGGCAAAUUGGCAUUAGUACUCAAGUGAUCAAUUUUUUAAAAUUUGUGACAUUUAAGUAAGUGAAAAUUUUUUUAUACUUAAUUGGUCACUAUAUGAAAGUUUUGGCAGUUCUGAUAUCUUUAUUCAGGUCGAAAAAUAGGUACUUGCUACAGUGAUGUUCAUACGCAGUAUCCCAGAAAACAUCAAGGUCAACAUCCACUAGAACCGGUCUUGGACCUUCUUAUCUCCUAAAAUUCUGCUCUCAAUUUCUUCAACAGAAAACUGAAUGUUGAAUCUCCAUCACAAAUUUUUCCCUCCGCAUGUCCUUUCUUAGGUGUGUGGGCCCUGGUGAAUCUCGACCACUUGGCGACAUUCGAGACUCUGGCCAUGGACCUGGAGCUCAGGAAGAAGCUCAUCGACAAUCUCGAGAGGUUUAUGACAAGGAAGGAGCACCACAGGAGAGUCGGCAAGGUGUGGAAAAGAGGGUCUUAUUGUGCGGACCUCGGCACAGGGAAAUCGAGCCUGGUCGCGAGGAUGGCCAAUCCCUUGAAACUCGACAUAUACCAUUAGAGCUGAGUGGACUCCGGAGCAAUGCGAACCUCAGGAGGCUGCUCAUCAACACUGGAAUCAGUCCAUAGUGGUGGUGAAGGACAUCGAUUGCACCAUGAUGUUGCAAGAUAGGAUGUUAGAAACCCAAGCCACAUACAUGGAUAUUACGUCAACCCGUCUUUUUCGCAAGAAAAUCAAGUACGAUCUUCUUUUUAUUUAGCAUAAGGUUUAGUUCAAUUGUUUUGUAGUAUGCAUAUUAUCUGUCUUUGACAUUUAACUUAAGUUUGUCAUUACAACUUUAACUUUUCACAUGGAAGAGGUGACAUUGUCGAGAUUCCUCAACUUCAUCAAUGGCUUUGGUCAAGUUGCGGCAAUGAGCGGAUCGUAGUCUUCACGAUGAACCACAUGGAGAAAUUGAACUCAACCCUAUUGCGCCCAAUUUGCAUGGACCUGCACAUUCCCAUGCCUUAUUGCACCUUGUGCGGGUUCAAGCUUCUCAUUUUUAAUUAUCUUGGGAUCGAUAGCUGUGAGCUCUCCGACCAUAUUGAGAGUUUGUUCGAGACAACUAGAAUUACUCUUGCCGAAGUAGCGGAGCAGUUGUUGAAGAGCGACGAACCAGAGGUCGCUCUCAGGGACAUGGUUUCCUUCCUAGUUAAUCACAAUAGGUAAAAUAAUUAAGAAGUCAUUUAGGAGAAAGUAUGUCAGUGCCAAUUGGUCGAAAAAAUGGAUGGAGUGAAAAGGAAAGCAGAAGUUAUGAACUAAUUGAAAAUUAGAUAAGAGAUAAGGAUUGUGCCGUCCAUCGAUUUUAAUAAGAUUAUUAUAGAUUUUUUUUGUAUAAAGAAAGAUGAUGUGUGAAAACAUUGGAAAUUACAAUUGAACUUGGUUUACUUGCCUUAAUAUCUUUCUUUGAUUGUUAUCAACCUUGGCCAAUUGGACAUGAGCAGGUCUUUAAAAGGCUCAUGGAGGAAACAAAUGGGAAAACCGCCCUGGGAUGAGAGACCCCGCGCUGUCCUCCUAUUUCCUCUCUGUCGGGAAGACAAAGAUAGACAAUGAAUUAGGGAGUCUCAUGGUGGUGAAAGUAGACAUCACGUCAGGACUUCGGUUCUGGCUACUAUCGGGUAGGCAGGUAAAAUAGCUUCUCAUGCCUGGAGUAAGGGAGGGUAGGUUAAAUACCUACAACUGGGUUGACAUGCCUUAUGGCACUGUCCUUAACCAUAGGUUGACCCAGUUCCCCCGGUUGAGGACAGCGCCGUUCCCCCGGCCGUGAGAUUGCAACUUGUUUUGAAGAUCCAAUAGAUCUUAAACAUAGGCAAUACUUGAGAGAAUCACUGAUUUUUAUGUAGUCAUUUUUGAAUUCUAACAUGAAAUAAAAUUUACGAUAAGAUGUGUGGACAUUUCACCGAAAAAAGUAAUUAUUAUUUUUUUUGGUGGAAAUGUAAUUAAUUUACUCAAUAUCAACCAUGAAAUGCUAAUGUAUUGAAAUGAAAGUUCUUAAUUCAUCUAGCCUAAUUUAUUGAAUCUCUCUGAUGCAAUAGCUUCAUAAGAAAUUGAAUCAAGAGGAUUCGAUUCCUUUAUACCAAUGUGUCAGGGAGAAAGUAUUCUACAUUGUUCGUCUUUCCUCAAAAAAAUUAAGAGGUAUUCUAGGAUGAGUGUGUUUUGUAUGCUCAGCGUACACUUCGUCGACUUUCCUGUCACUGUCACUGCGGUAUCUUGUUCCCCCUGCAUCUCCCACAGGACCUCUUUCGUUUUCUUCCUCUGUUAUGCAACAACCGUUUCCGUUCCCCUUGGAUCCUAGCAGAGCAGCAUCUGACGGAGACAGCACAGAACUCACAUGCCUUAAUCUGUCAUUGUCAAGAAGAAUAUGUCUUCUUCUCGUUCCAGGAUUUCCUCCGCUAGAAUGAACUGCUUCCCAUGAUACGGUUUUGCCUUCGAAAAGGAUGAACCUUCCAUGCAGGUAAUCAUUUUCAGGUCCAUUCAGCCAGUCUACAGUAGCAUUCUCCUCCAGGAAGUUGGCAGCAGUUCCAGGAGUUAAUCUCUUCUCGUGGUUGGCCUCGCCGCCAGCAGUCUCAAAUCCUUUCCCAGUUCUUCUUCGGAUGGAAUCUACUGCUGUUCAAUCAGUACCUAGAAAAUCCUUUUUCUGGCCUCCCCAGCUCAAGGGACAAGUCAACCGGCGAUGAUAGCGAGGGCCAUCGAGAGAACUUACCACAUGCAGCGAUGCUUGACAUCAUGUUCAAUCUUUUAAGCCCAGCUUCUGAAGUUAAGAUAUGCUCCUUUCCACUGCUUUCUAUGUUAUAAUCCGUAGCGCUCAAUCCACUCUGGCGAUCAAGGUAUAUUAUCGUUCAUUAGUACUGUUGUAGCAUGUAGAAACGUGCCUUAAAACUCUUGCCUUGAUUCUGAUGCCAUCGUUAAUCCACAGCACAGAAAUCAGCAAAAACAUACAUGGAAGAUUCAAGAUGCCCACUAAUUUAUAUCCGAUGAGGUGAUUGUGUAAAUAGUUUUCUACAAGAAAAGCCAACGACAGAAUGAAUUUUGCAUCAAGAUUUCUCCGGCUUUUGCAUAUGCCUUCUAUUCACAUGCAUUAUCCAUUAGUUCAUCCAGAGGUAAUUCUAGGCCUACCAUCUAUAUGUGGAUGAAUUCUCCUGGCGCAUGCCUAAUCUCACGUGCAAAUGUAUGUACAGCGCAUCCCCAUUAGAACGCCCAUCAUUAUCAGUAUUGGCAAAGAGGGACCUGUAGCACCUCUAGAUUGUCAAACAGAACGAAAAGUUCACUGCAACCGUAUGACAUAAUCAUAAAAAGAUGACUAUGGAAGGAGAAGGAUGAAGGCAAAGACACAGAUGACUAUCAGCUGCACUCGGAUGCGCUGAACCAAUCACUAUGGUCCAGAGGAGAAGGCAGAAGCAGUCCCAGAAGAGUGAGAGAAACUAUCAUCAUCAGUGGAGAAUGUGAUCUCCGCUCCCUCUGCAAAUUCUUGAUUAACUGAAUCUAACAGAUUCACAGCCAUCUGUACCUGGAGACACCACUUCCGGAGAGACUAUUUCACCUGGACAAUGAACCAGUCCUACCCUUAUCAACAGGCUGAAUCUUGACGUACAUAAUAGGUUGAGCCAUAUUCUUAAAGUUCCUAUUGCAAUUCUUUCAAUAACACAAGAAAAAAAAAUCACAGAUUUGAGGAAGAAGAUGAAAUUGGUUGUUGUACAGUAGAGAUAAUUAAGGAUGUCGUGCACUUUUUAGUGGAGAGAGUGGGUAGGUAACUUCUUGCUUUCUACAAUUUUAUCUAUUUUCUUUAGCCAAAUUUCACUUCUUCUUUUUUUUCCUCUCUUUAACACUUAAUUGCAUUAUAAUAUUAAAAGAACGUGAAGAUGAAGGGAAACUGUGAAACUUACGAUAAGAUAAACUGAUGUUUUAGCCUGUAUUUAUUGAUAUUCCUACCAUUUUUCUUCAUGGCACUAUCGAUAUGGGGGAGAAUUAUCAAAAAAGUCAUAAUCUAUUGUAAUUGUGCCAAUUCAGUUAUAAACUUUUUUUUUUUGGGUCAAUUUAGUCUUAAACCUUUUACAAUUGUGUCAAUGUCAGCCGAUGGAUGCUAAUGUGGCAAUUUUUUUAUAUAUAUUUUUUUAAAAUUUUUGAUAUUUUUUUUUUAAUUUUUUUCCCUUUUUUUCCCCUUCUUCUCCUUUCUUUGGCUGGCCGGCACCGGCCAGAGGCGAGGGCUGGUGAGGUCUGGCGAGGUGGUCGACCUCGCUAGUGGCUAGCAAGGUGGCCGUCGCUAGAUUUAGAGAGGCUCGACCUUGCCAUGGCUGGGCGAGGCCGAGCCUCGCCAGAUUUGACGAUGGCGGUCUCACCGUUGUUGGGCGAGGCUUGCCUUCGCUAGUGGCCGGUGGGGGUGAGCCUCGCCAGUGGCCGGUGAGGCUAACCUUGCUGGCCCUCACCUGGAUGGUCAGCAUCGGCCGGAGGAAGGAGAAGAAGGGGGAAGAAAGGGAAAAAAUAUUUUUAAAAAAAAAAGAAAAAAAUUGAAAAAAAAAAUUAAAAAUUGCUACAUCAGUGUUCACUGGCCAGCUGUCCCUGGCUGGUGUCCAUGUCAGUGUUGGCUAGUCAAUUUUGAUCGGAUUGAUUGAAUUUGCACAAUUGUAAAACGUUUAGGACUAAAUUGGCAAAAAAAAAAAAAGUUUAGGAUUGAAUUGACACAAUUAUAAUAGAUUUAUAUUUUUUUGGUAAUUCUCGCAUCGUUAUGGUGUUAUCUAUUUUGAGGACGUUUUUGAUAUUCCAAAACAAAUUCUUUUCCAUUCCAUUGUUUUUGGAUACAACACAAGGAAUUACCACAGUAUCUCUUUCGCACUUAUCUUGCACAUGAAAUCUCAUUUUGUACAUGAAUUAUACAACUUGACGAGGAUACACCAGGAAGUGAGCCAACUAUAAAGAUAGUGAUUAUUGAGGAUUUCGGCAUAGAAAUCAUCGAUGAGAAAUUACUAUAUGAUCUUAUUUUUUUAUUAUUUUAUGAUCCACAAAUCAAGUGAGAUGACAUGAUUUGAAUCAUUAAUUAUACGGGUCAAAUAAUAAAUUUCUCACAACUGGCCUGCAUAAUCUAUGUACCAUGCGAUAAAUGCCACUCGCAUCAUUAAAUAUAUGGGUAUAUUAUACGGGUCAAAUAAUAAAUUUCUCAGCCUGCAUAAUCUAUGUACCAUGUGAUAAAUGCCACUUGCAUAAUUAAUUAUAUGGGUAUAUUAUACGAGUCAAAUAAUAAAUUUCUCACAACUGGCCUGCAUAAUCUAUAAAUGCCACUUGCAUCAUUAAUUAUAUGAGUAUAUUAUACGGGUCAAAUAAUAAAUUUCUCACAACUAGCCUGCAUAAUCAUGCGAUAAAUGCCACUUGCAUCAUUGAUUAUAUGGGUAUAUUAUAAUUUCCACAUGAUCAACAAUCUAAACGAACUCGGUUUGCGUGAUCUAUGUCCCUCCCCCUCAGACAUAUACCGAUUAAUUACUCGAGACACGCGGCGCUCCGGGGAUGGCCUUGAGAAAGCGAGCACGUAAGUGGUCCUAAUUCAAUUGACUAGCGAUGAGGACGGAUGCGGUUAUUAUUUGCUUAAAUUUUUCUAGGGUUUCUUUUAAAGAACACGAACAAUCUUUGCGAAAGCAAAACGCACUAAAGAAAAGGUUCCCACUUCCUAACUAGACAAAAGAAUCAUUUCUAAAAUAAAUAGAGCUCGGAUCGAAAUCUAGAAGUCUUCGACCAUAGAAAAAAGAAGGUCUAGAAGUCAAACACUCCUCCAACUUCUACACGUAAUGCAGAGCGUGAUGAUUACUCCCAGAUGUCCCCGGAUAUUCAGAGAUUACCACGAGAAUUAAGGGCAAAACCAUCAUUAGAGAUAGGUCAUUCUAAAUAUCACCAAAUUUAUGAAAUCGAUGGCUCAUAAGUAUCCCACAACCUCCAUAGUUAAAAAAUAUUCCGACUCGAAAGUUACAUGCGAAUGAACAUUCUCAAUGCCAAUGCCUUCAAAAUAUGUCAAAACAAGAACGUGUGAUGUACAUGUGGUUUCGCCUUAUAUCGAAACACGACCAUUAAAUUAGACAUUUCAUGGUAUCGGUGCAUAUGCUGUUUAUACAAAUGCAAUCGCGAUAACAAUGCGCCUCGUUGAUGUUGCUUUGACAUCUGCCACCACCCUGAAAAGAAAAAAGAUACGAGGAAAGUGUAAAGGAAGGUGCAAGAAGGACGAAAUAUCACGGCAUUCGAAAGGGCAAAGCUAAAGUCUUUGCGAAGACUUUGACUUUAAACGGGUUCAUGAACCAGCUCGGUCAAGAAGGCAACACCCCAAUUUUCAAGUAAUUUGUGCUUCGGCGUCGCUUUGUCAAAGACUGACUUAAACAUAGAGAUUUUUACUCCACAAAAAGAAAAAAUGUUACUAAGCUCACUCUAUAAACUCCAGAGAUCCAACCCUCGCUUCCUUGCUCUCUCAUUCACCCCAAAAGGUUUCGUCCAAUCAACGAUUCCAUCUCGCGGUUUUCUCCGGCCGAUUACUGUCUACUGCCGAGCUGCUUAGAUGACGACCCCUGCUCCGUCCGACUUCAAGAACGCCGUCGCGGUGGCCAAGGCAGUGCUGUCUGCUGCGGCCUCCGUGACAGCCACGGCCAUGGUGGUGCAGUCCAUGGUUCACACAAUCGUUCCCCGUGAGCUCCAGGGCCUCCUCUUCUCCAGGAUCCGCGGCUUCUUCUCCCGUUUCUCCAAUGAAAUGACCAUGGUUGUCGACGAGUACGACGGGUUCGUCCAAAACGAGCUCUUUGAGGCAGCUCAGGUUUUCUUGGCUGCCAAGCAAUCCCCUUCGACGACACGCAUCCGGGUGUCCAAGCCUACGAAGGAGAACCACUUCACCGUGGCCAUGGACCGAAAUCAAGCGCUGGUGGAUACCUUUCAAGGGGUUGAACUCAAGUGGGUAUCCGCAUCGAGACAGAUCGACUCGGGCCACCGAGUUUAUCAUGGUCGGAACACGACGGUUCAGUACGAAGUUCAGUACUUCGAGCUCACUUUUCACAAGAAACACAAGGAGAUCGUGCUCAAUUCCUACCUGCCUUUCGUCGUCAGCGAGGCGAAGUCCAUGAAGCAGGGGAAGAAGACGCUGAAGCUACACACUCCAAGCUUUGACCGCGUCCGCGUCUAUGGCGGUAAGUAUCAUCGAACAUAAAGUUCGAAUCGACGAAAUUAUCUGUAAAGAUGUUUAAUUCUGCUGUUAGAAAAGUGGAAAGGAGUAAAUAUACUAAAUUGACGUUACUUUUUUAUUCAAAUGGACAAGUCAGAAGUACCAUAGACAUUGUAAAAAUGCAAUUAAUUGGUCCUAUCCAAAAAAAACCAUUUGCUACAGAAAAGUUCAUAUGCGACAGCCUAAAGAACAUUAAGGUCAAAAUUUACCAGAACCAGUCUUGCCCCUUCUUACCUACUAUUAUUCUGCUCUCAAUUUCUUCAUCAGAAAACUGAAUUUUGUAUCUGCUUCACAUUUUUUUUCCUCUACAGGUCCUCUCUCAGAUGCAUGGGCCUCAGUGAACCUCGACCACCCGGCGACAUUUGGGACACUGGCCAUGGACCUAGAGCUUAAGAAGACAAUCAUGGACGAUCUCGAGAGGUUCGUGAGGAGGAAAGAGUAUUAUAGGAGAGUAGGCAAGGCGUGGAAGAGAGGGUACUUAUUGUAUGGACCCCCUGGCACAGGGAAAUCGAGCCUGAUUGCGGCGAUGGCCAAUUACUUGAACUUCGACAUAUACGACCUAGAGCUGAGCGGGCUCCGGAGCAAUGCGGAGCUCAGGAAACUGCUUGUUGCCACCGCGAAUCACUCCAUAUUGGUGGUUGAGGACAUCGAUUGCACCAUUGAGUUGCAAGAUAGGAAGUCCGAAACCCGAGCCGCGCGCAUGAAUAUGAUGUCCACCGAUUAUCCACGAGAAGAUGUACAAUUUUUUUUUUUCUUUUUGCCUUUCAUUUUUGGUACAAGGUUUACUUCAGUUUGUCGCAUGCUAUGCUUAUGAUUUGUUCUUGACAUUUAACUUGUUUGUCACUACGACAUUAAUUUUUGUAUCGUGGAACAGCUGACGCUGUCGGGAUUCCUCAACUUCAUCGAUGGGCUUUGGUCGAGUUGUGGCGAUGAGCGGAUCAUAGUAUUCACUACCAACCACAAGGAGAAACUAGACUCAGCCCUAUUGCGCCCAGGGCGCAUGGACGUGCACGUUCACAUGUCCUAUUGCACCCCCUGUGGAUUCAAGCUUCUUGCUUCUAAUUAUCUUGGGAUUGAUCACCACGAGCUCUUCAAUCAAAUCGAGAGUUCAAUCACAACAGCGAGAGUCACUCCAGCCGAAGUGGCAGAGCAGUUGAUGAAGAGCGACGAACCAGAGGUCGCUCUCAAGGACUUGGUUUCCUUCCUCGCUGAUCACAAGUGGAAAAAAAAUGAAGAAGUCAUAAAGGAGAAAGUUUGCCAGUGCCAAUUGGUUGAAGAAAAUGGAGGAACUGAAGAGGAAAGCGAUAAGUGCGAAAUAAUUGAAGAGUAACCAAUAAACAUCGACUAUGUUGGUAUGUUUUGAUCGAUUUUAAUUUAGAUUAUUAUAAAGAAAGUGAUCAUUGAAUAUAAAGUAAUUGUAUGAAGUCACUACAUGGUCAUCCAAAUUAUUAAUUAUGUGAGUCAAAUGGUAAAAUCAAAUGGUCAACGGUUUAGACGAACUCGAUUUACAUGGUUUGUCAACCAUGCAAUCUUUUCAUGAUCGAAUAUUCAAAUCAUGCUAACAGUAUAAUUUGCUUUAUAUAGUUAUAUCGCGUCAAGGACACAUAAUGUGGCAUUAAUGUUUUCUCAUGGUUUGGACCUUCCACGGAAUCUCAAAUAUGCUUGGGUUGGCUGAAAGCAUUAUUUGUCUGAGCUUGGAUUCUAAUUCAAUUGGACUCAACCUAAUUCUCGAUGGGUUCCUAGUCAUCCGUUGCUAGAGUCAUCUCAUGGGUACAUGCUUCUUUCCUUAGAAACACGGCAAGUUUCGCAAAAGCAAAACGAGCUAGGAAAGGUUCCCUACUAGCAUCGGUCGUAUUCGCAUCAUGCGGGGGGAGUUAAGGAGAGAGCUUUAAAUAGAUCAUCCUAAAAUGGAGCUAACUUACCUCGAGAUGCGACCAUUGAAUAAGAUAAUCGCACGGGGUUGGUCGAUCUGGUUUCAAUAUUUGCCAUCACUCCGCAAAAGAAAAAGGCCAAGAGCGGCGCCCCGUGGGGGCAAGAACGAAAGCCUACCAAGGCUUGGGCUAGGAACAGUCCAGGCCAGGAACCAGCCCAAUAAUUCCAUGCAUUUGUAGAGAGUUCGUUGUUGAUCUCCCAUUCACACCCUAAAAAAUUCUACAAUAACUGGUCGAUCUCCGAUUAUCUUAUUCAUCGCCACUGUCAUCUCCCGAUUUCCUCCGGUCAUAUACCGUCUGUCCCCCGUAUAUUGAACUGAAAAGAUUGGCGACCCCUGCUCCAAGCGACUCCAAGAACCGCGUCGCGGUGGCCAAGGCUGUGCUGUCUGCCGAGGCCUCCGUGAUGGUGGUGCAGUCAGUGGUUCGACUGUUCCUCCCUCCCGAAUUCCAGGGCUUCCUCUUCUCUAAGAUUCACGGCUUCUUCUGUUGCUUCUGCAACGAAAUGACCAUGGUCAUCGGACAGUACGAUGGGUACAGCCAAAACGACCUCUUCGGGGCCGCCCAGGUUCUCCUGGCCACCAAGCAAUCCCUUUCGAUGCAGCGCGUGCAAGUGACCAAGUCCCCGAAGGAGAACCACUUCACUCUGGCUAUGGACCAGAAUCAAAUGCCGGUGGAUACGUUUCACGGGGUCAAACUCAAUUGGGUUUUCGUGUUGAGACAGGUCGACUCGGGCCACCAAGUCCAUCAAGGCUCCACGGUUCAGCACGAAGUUCAGCACUUCGAGCUUAGUUUUCACAAGAAAAACAGGGAGAUCGUGGUCAAAUCCUAUCUGCCUUUCCUCAUCGACGAGGCCAAGUCCAUAAAGCAGGGGAACAAGAGGCUGAAGCUAUGCACUCCGGGUUCCAACGCCAAUUAUCUUUAACUAUGUUCAAUUCUACUAUUAGAAUUUAAAGUGAAAAGCUGUGACGAUAAAUUCACAAAAACUUCUUAGUUCAAUCGGACUAAGUCGGAGGUAUCAUAUAAAGUCCAGUAAAAAAUAAGUACUUACUACAUAAAAGUUAAUCAGUAAAAUCCUAAAGAACAUUAAGAUCAAAAUUCACUAGAACCAGCUUGCACCUUCUUCUCAAUGAUUAUGAGCUCAAUUUCUUCAGCAGGAGACUGAAUCUUGUGUCUCCAUCACAAUUUGUUUCCUCUACAGGCCCUUUCCCAGGCACGCCACCCGGCAACAUUCCAAACACUGGCCAUGCACGUAGAGCUCAAGAAGAAGAUUAUCGGCGAACUCGACAGCUUUGUAAGGAGGAAGGAGUAGUACAGGAGAGCUGGCGAAGCGUGGAAAAGAGGGUACUUAUUGUACGGACACCCUGGAACGGGGAAAUCGAGCCUGGUCGCCGCAAUUGCUAAUUACUCACGGCCGUGCUACAACUGAGUGGGCUCCACACCAAUGCAGAGCUCAGGAGGCUCUCGUCGCCACCAUGAAUCAGUCCAUAUUGGUGGUUGAGGACAUCGAUUGCACCAUUCAAUUGCAAGAUAGGAAGUUGGAAACAUGAGCCACCAGCAAGAAUCCGACAUCGACGGGUUAUCGGCGAAAAGAUCAAGUACUACUUUUUCUUUUUGCUUUCUUUUUGAGUAAAAGGUCUAGUUCAUUUGUUGCAUAUAUAAAUAUGAUUUGUCCUCAACAUUUAACUCAUGUUUGUCACUACAUUAAUUUUUUUCUCAUGGAACAGGUGACAUCAUCCAAAUUCCUCAACUUCAUCAAUGGGCUUUGGUCGAGUUGUGGUGAUGAGUGGAUCAUAGUUUUCACGACGAGCCAUUUUGAGAAAUUAGACCCAGCCCCGUUGCGCCCCCAGGGUGCAUGGACUUGCAUGUUCCCAUGUACUAUUACACUGCUUGUGGGUUUAGGCUUCUCGCUUCUAAUUAUUUCGGGAUCGAUCACCACGAGCUCUUUGACCAAACCAAGAGUGCAAUCACAAUGGCUAGAGUCACUCCAGCCGAAGUAAUAGAGCAGUUGAUGAAGAGCAACUUGGGGACAUGGUAUACUUCCUUGCUAAUCACAAGAGGAAAGAAAAUGAAGAGGUCAAUGAGGAGAAAGUUUUUUCGGUCUCAAUUGGUUGAAGAUAAUGGAGGGGUGAAGAAGAAAGUGGUGAGUGCGAACUAAUUAAAGAAUAAACAAUAAACACCGACUAUGUGGGUACGUUCCAUCGAUUUUAACUUAGAGUAUUAUAAAAAUCUCGAUUAUUAUGGAUUCAACCACAAAAGUGACGGAUGGAAAGCUACUGUAUCUUCAUCCAAAUUAUUAAUAAUUUGAGUCAAAUGAUAAAAUCACGUGAUCAAAUAGACUAAAUGAACUCGAUUUAUAUGAUCGAUGAGCUAUGCGAUAUUUUGAAAUUAUUGAUAUUCAUGUCAUGCCGACCGUAAAAUUUGCUUCUUGUAGUUACUGCGGCAAGGACACAUAAUUAGACACUAAUGACAGUCUCAUGUUUUGGGCCUUCCAUGAAAUAUUGAAUUUGCUUGGGUCGGCUGAAAACAUUCAUUGCCUAUCCGAUUUUUAGACCAACCAUUGGGGUCAAGGUCAUUUCGGUCUUUUUAUUCUUCCCUAUGGGCAAGAUAGAAAAUUUCUUUUUUCUCCUUUUCUAUUAAUAUUAAAGAAGGUUUGGACUUAUUGGAGCAUUCAACUAAUUGUUGUUUGAUAUGAUAAUCAUCCAUGGAGGGGAUUAGCAAAAGCAGACGAGGGACAAAAGGUAUAGUGCAGGGCAAGUUAAGGAGAGAUACGAGAAAAAUAUAUUGAAAAUUUUAAAACUUAUUACGAAAGUGUAAUCGAGUGUUGAAAUUUUUAAAAAUAUACAAUUAAAUGAUAAAAUUUGUGGAAUUGGUGCGAUUGAAUCAUUCCACUGCGGAAAAUGCUGACUUCCCUGUUACAUGGCGAUAAUGUAGUUAAAAUGACAUUAUUUUGUUUCAAAUUUGAUUUUAAAUACAAAUUAUAUUUAAUUUAAAUUAAAAAUUAAGAAAAUUAUAAAAAAAAAAUAAGAGCAGAAAGGGCGCGUGAGGGUUUGCAACCCUUGGGGCUGGUGCCCGUGCCGACCGUUCCCCAUCCCGGUGAUUUAGGGUGGCAGCGACGAAAAGGGUUGCAAACCCCUCUUCCUCCUUUGCUUUUUCCCCAAAGUUUUCUUAUUUUUAAUAUAAUUAAAAAUAAAAUUAAUAUUAAAAAAUUGAAUUUUGACUAACAUGACGUUAUUUAAGUCAUGAAUCAUGAUGACAUCACGUAGGAAAAAGAAAAUAAUAAAAAAAUCACGUCAUCGUUUUUUAUUAUUCAAGUUGGACAGAGUUAAUAUAAUUACUUGAUUGCAUUAAUUUGAUAAUUUUUAUGAUUUAAUAACAUUUUUUAAAAGUUUUAAAAUUUAAUUAUAUUUUUUUUUUAUAAAUUUUAAGAUUUUUAUUGUACCUACUCAUAAAUCAUUCUAAAUAUAACUGAUUUAUUAAAAAUGUGAUCUUAAAAUAGUCCACGCGAAUCAAUAAACGAGUUUAUACUAUCUAAUCAAACUAAAUCGAAGUGGAACGUGCGUGGUUUUGCCUUACCUCGAGACGCAAUCAUUGAAUCAGAUAAUUGGUUGGGAUUUAGUCGAUCUGAUUGUAACGGCAAAAGCAAAGGGUACGAAGACCUGGACUAAGAACAGUGCAUGAAUCAGCUCAGUCGAGAAGGUAACAGAAAAAGCAUCGGGGUGGUUUUGUACCUUUGUGCUUUCCAGCUGGUACUUCCGGUGGGAUGUCGCCAGCUCUCCCUUUUAAAUCCAGGACCGACUCUGGUUGACGGUAACAUAAUCAUCUCCGAUUCUCCAAUUCUCACAUCCCAUCUUAAUACCAAACAGAGUAAACUGAAAACAAUGGCGACCACCCCAGCUCCGAACGAGUUCAGGAACCCCAUUGCGGUGGCCAAGGCAGUGCUGUCUGCUGCGACCUCCGUGACGGCCACCGUGAUGGUGGUGCGGUCGGUGGUUCGACCCUUCAUCCCCCGCGAAUUCCAGGACUUCCUCUUUGACUUCCUCUUUUCCAGGAUCCGCGGCUUCUCGUCUCGCUUCUGCAACGAGAUGACCAUGGUCAUCGAACGGCACGAUGGGUACGCCCAAAACGAGCUCUUUGGGGGCGGCCCGGGUUUUCCUGGCCGCCAAGCAAUCCGGUUCCGUACGGCGCAUGCGAGUGACCAAGUCCACGAAGGAGACCCACUCCACUGCGGCUUUUAUUGACCAGAAUCAAAUGCUCGUGGACACGUUUCACGGGGUCAAAUUGAAGUGGGUUUUGGUGUCAAGACAAGUCGGCUCGGUUGGCAACCGAGUUCAUCAAGGCCCAAACUCAACGGUUCAACACGGAGAUCAGUACUUUGAGCUCACUUUUGACAAGAAACAUAAGGAGAUCGUGGACAAAUCCUAUCUGCCUUUCGUCAUGAACCAGGCCAAGUCCAUAAAGCAGGAGAAGAAGACGUUGAAACUUUACACUGCAAGCUCUAACGGUAAUUUUUUGUAGAACAUUUUGUUGGAAUCAUCGGUUAUCUUUAAAUAUGUUCAAUUCUACCAUUAGAAGUGGAAAGGGAGUGAUAUUAAGGUUCCCUAACUUCCACGAAAAUGUUUUCGUGAUUUCCGACUCUCGGUGAAAAAUAAACUUUUAUGGAGAACGUUUUUUGCUAUUGUAAAAAAAAAAAAAAAAAAUUCAAAAGUGGGUAAAAAGUUUUCUACUUUCCUGUAACUUUUUUCACCAAACACAUUUUCCUUUUAUUUUUAUACUUUCUUUUUUUUCUUUUAAAAAAUUGAAUCUUUAAUAUUUUUUUUUCUUCCUCCACAUUAGUCAUUGGCCACAAGCCAGCUUGAGUCUUGUCACAAGCCGUUAAGGCCAGUGAUACCUUGAGCCCGACUUGCCUCAGGCAAGCUCGAGCGCACUUGGAUCAGCCUAGCUUUGGCUCGCUGACUCGCGUCUUGGUCGAUUGUUGGGGAGCCAACCAUUGCUGAGGCACGCACCAGUGGAGGAAGGAAAAGAAAAAUAAAGAAAAAAAAACAAAAAAAAAUUGAUUUAAAAAAAUAAAAAAUAAAUAAAAAAUUCAAAUUUUAAAAAUAUAUAAAAACGAAAAUUAAUUGUUUUGGUCAAUUAAAAAAUAAUUUUUUUUUUUUGGUAAUUUCUCCUAGAAAAUCAAAUCAAAUAUCGAACGAUGAAAAAUAAUUUUCACUUCAUUUUUAGAUUUCUGUUGAACAUCGGAAUUUUCACCUCAUUUUUAGAUUUCUAUUGAACAUUGGAAAAUAUCGUUAUUUUCUUGUAAAAUGCUUAUUGAAAAAUAUUUUUCGAAAAUGUGAUUUUUAAGCGGAGUCUAAAUUCGUAAAAAACUUUUCAGCUCAAUCAGACUAGUUAGAAGUCCAGCCCAAAGUAACUACUUGCUACAGAAAAGUUCAUAAGUAAAAUCCUAAAGUAACAUUAAGGUAAAAUUAACUAGAACAAGUCCUGCACCUUCUUAUAUAUGAUUCUGCCCUCAAUUUCUUCAACAGAAAAUUGAAUUUUGUAUCUCCAUUAAAUGGGUCGGGUAUGGGUCGUAUACGGGUCGGGUCGGGUAUGGGUCAAAAUUUUUGCAUUGUAAUAAAUGGGUCAUAAACGGGUUAAAUGGGUCGAUUUGGGUCGGACCAUUUAUGACCCGACCCAAACCCGACCCGACCCACCCGUUUAACGGGUCUAGUCCUUGGUGAACCUCAACCACCCGGCGACGUUCCAGACAUUGGCCAUGGACCUAGAGCUCAAGAAGAAGAUCCUCGACGACCUCGACAGGUUCGUGAGGAGGAAGGAGUACUACAGGAGAGUCGGCAAGGUGUGGAAAAGAGGGUACCUAUUGUACGGACCCCCUGGAACAGGAAAAUCGAGCUUGGUCGCCGCGAUGGCCAAUUACUUGAACUUCGACGUAUACGACCUAGAACUGAGUGGGCUUCGGAGCAAUGCGAACCUCAGGAGAUUGCUCGUCGCCACCACGAAUCAGUCCAUAUUGGUGGUCGAGGACAUCGAUUGCACCAUUCAGUUGCAAGAUAGGAAUCCAGGAACACGAGCCGCCGGCAUGAAUCCGAUGUUGAUGUGUUAUCAACAACAAGAUCAAGUACAAUUUUUUCUUUUUUGCUUUCUUUUUUAAUAUGAGGUCUAGUUCAAUUGCUGCGUACUAUGAAUAUGAUUUGUCCUCGAUGUUUAAUUCAUGUUUGUACCUACAACAAUAUUUUUUUUUUCUUAAUGAAAUAGGUGACGUUGUCUGGAUUUCUCAACUUCACCGAUGGGCUUUGGUUGAGCUGCGGCAAUGAGCAAAUCAUAGUCUUCAUGACAAACCAUGUUGAGAAACUAGACCCGGCCAUAUUGCGCCCAGGGCGCAUGGAUUUGCAUAUUCCCAUGUCCUAUUGCACCCCUUGUGGGUUCAGGCUUCUAGCUUAUAAUUAUCUCGGGAUCGAUCAUCAUGAGCUUUCCAACCAAAUUGAGAGCGCGAUCACGAUGGCUAGAGUCACUCCGGCUGAAGUAGCGGAGGAGUUGAUGAAGUGUGAUGAAUCAGAGAUCAUCCUCAGGGACAUGGUUUCCUUCCUCACUAAUCACAAGAGGAAAGAAAAUGAAGAAGUCAUCAAGGAGAACGUUUGUCGCUCUCAAUUGAUCGUAGAAAUUGGAGGGAGUGAAGAAGAAAGCAGCAAGGGCAAGCUAAUUGAAAAAUAAAUAAUACAUGUCGACUGCAAUGGUAUGUUUCCAUAGAUGUUAUUUAGAUUAUUAUAGAGUUCUUUGUAUUAAGCAUGAUGAUGUAUGACAACUAGCCCCGUCAUACUGACGGGUUAGGAUAGGUCAGGUCGGGUCAAAAAUAGUCGGGCCUUAAAAUGCAAAUUUGGCAACCCAUGUUUGACAUGAUUCAAGAUCUACUUUUAGCAAUUUUUUCUUUUAAAAUUUGUGGUCUUUGAAGAAUAGGCGGCUCCAUGGAUUGACUCGUCGAGUUGGUGAGGGAGCUUGGGGUUCGGUUAUAGACAGAAGCGUUAAAGUGGUGGUGAAAGUCCAGUCCGGGCCAUCCAUAAAUUGUUCGGUCUCUAAACUCAUUUUCACUUAUUUGUAGAAUUUUAAAUGACCCGUAUGCAACCUGGCCCAUAGAAAGUAAAUUGAAAAAUGAGUUCACACCCUUAUGUCUUGCUCCAAUGCAACUCGUCUUUAUGGGCAUAUUAAAGUCCCGCACCCGGCAGCUGACCAGAAAGAUUUUCACUAAGUCAUGAAGAAGGAAUUACAUAUCUCAACAGCUGAUGAUCGGCUUAAAAUUUUAUCUUUAUCGUGCUCACGACAAGUGUAAGCUAAUCGGAAUAAACCCUUUACAUACUACCUGUGAUUCAACUGGCCGAACUAUUAUACUAGUCACCGUUGCUGAAGAUUCCUACGCAACUAAUAGGAAAAUCAGAAGGGGAAAUUCACAUGGACAUCUCAUCAAGCAUGUGGGCGACGACAUGCAUAUUUCCAAUAGAGAAGAACCCAUAUACUCAUUCGGCAGAGUCAUUUCGUCGCAAUGAUAGAAGACCAAGCAGCAAAAAUCGACUUUCCGAAUUGAACUAGUUACUCGAGCAACUUUUAGAAGAAAGACAUAAAAGAGCCAUAUGAUUGCUUUACACAAAACGUGAUUUUAAUGUAAAUUAUGGGUUGGAAUAUGAGUAUGACCCAGAUAAAAACAUUGAAAUAAAUAUAGCAAAAUUGGUUUUCGACAAGUCUCUGUCUUUAAACCCUGCCAAAAUAAAAGAAAAAAUAAUGACUAGUGCUAAACACACUCAAGUUAAAUCGUUCAACAUUAAUAAAUUGACUUCCUUUUGAAAGAUGGCCUAAUUAAAUUAACCGAAGACCGUGUAAUUCCAAAUAAAGAUUUAGUAAACACAAAAAUAUUGCAAGUGGCACCAUUUAUGGAGCCAUAACACUGUUAAUUGUGUUGUUUUCAAGAGUUCAAUUUAGUAGGAAAAAGUCAAAUUUGCCGAAUGAUUGGUGACCUUUAAUAAUUUAAUUGAAAAAAUCUGAUGGUUGAUGAAUUAUUCAAUUCUUAAAAAAGGGCAUAUGUCGACAUAAAAAAAAAUGAUCACACUUUUGGUUAUUAUUGACAAAUGGCAAACUUGGUCGAUGGAGACACUUUAUAAAAAAAAAUUAACAAACUUGAAGAAUAGGUAACUUGCUUGUGGAGUCAUUGACCACACACAGCAUGAAAGUUAUCGAUUAGAGCUUUCAUCAAGACUUGAGAAAUGGAUUGACAAAGUCAUAAGCAAUGAGCAAUCAACAUAAGAAUAUAACUGUUCGCUGAUUAUAUCUAUUGCCACUAACUUAGGAUUUUUGUUUCUUGCAUAUAAGUGUUGCCUGUAGAUAAGCGUUGCAUAGAGUAACUUCUUUAAUAUAAUUAAAAAGUUUUCUUUAUUUGAAUUUAAAAAGUGUUGUUUUAAACCGUCGAUGAUGAGCUACAAAAAUAUCCACGUUGUACUCUUGUAAGGAAUCCUUAUUAAUCAAUCAACGCAUUUGAGUCCUUUUGUAAAUUUAUUUUAAUCUUAUAUAAUCGGUUGCAAUUGCCUCCAAUUUCCAUACCUCUGGAUCAAAGAUGAGAUUUAUAUCUAACGUAAUCAUUUAGGGGUUGCCUAUGACACGACAGGCUCUUGCAAAAGCAGAGAGAAGGGUCCGUAGCUAAUGCUGCUCGUAUUCACAUCGGUGCAGCUUAAGUCAAGAAGGAAUCGUCAAAUAAAAUAUUUAAGAUGUAUUCAGAAUUUUUCUUGUCAAUAUAAAUUCAACUUUAAAUAAUCUAGCUAGUCGGUAAACAAGUUUAUACUACCUAAUUAAAUUAAAACUGAAAUGGAAUGUGCCGUGGAAUUAUCUUAGGAUCGAUCGCCACGAGCUCUUCAACUAGAUCAAGAGUUCAAUCAUGGUGGCGAGAGUUACUCUGGCCAAAGUUAUGACAUCUCAGAUUUUCAGUCCUGUUUUCAACUGAAUAAAUCGGACAUUUCAUUGACGCGCCUAUAGGACUAUUAUCAGAACUGAUCACUCUUGAGAUAAAUAGAUUAUUUGGAAAAGCCAUUAAAGAAUUUUAAUGCAAUAGACUUGAGAAUUCGAACAGGGAUCGGUUACUUGACCGUGCUUAUCUGCCGAGAUCAUUACGGCAUAGAUAUAAAUCGAUUAGAGAUAAGAUAUAGGUAUGUUCGACUGAGAUAUGUGGCUAAUUGUGAAUGAUACCACUAAAUUGGAAAAUUCUUAUCGACUGGCUCUAGACUGAUUCUUUUGUCGUUUUGGUACCACGUGUCUGUAAUUGAAUCCUCGAGAUUUUCACGAUAACUGAGAGUCGCCAUUGAUUCAAGUGGGUUCAUUGUGGCUCAGAAAAAAUCGAUCACGGGUCAUUUGCACUAAAAAUUUCUGAAAACUACUUGGUAGCCUAGGUCACGCUAAAAAAGCGCCGAAUGGAAAUUAACCGCGAAUUCAAGUCCGAUUUCAGAAAUGGAAGAUCCUAUCGUGUUACAAUAAAUUCUAAGAACGUCAACUCAGCCUUAGAAGAUUUUUUUGACAACCAAGACUUUUUGAGAAAAAGUCGGCAUAUGAUCGUUUUUGUUCAAUUAAGGCUAGAGAUUAUUUUUGGUCACAAAAUUGAGAUACAAUAUAGAUUCUUCGGUUAAGAAAAUUAUCAAUUUGAUAAUUGGGGUACCAAUUGAAUUUGUAAAGGCCAUAUGGGAUUGAAUGGAAGAGGAAAUCAAGACCAAUUGAAGCCAUUUCCUUCAAAAUUCGUAGCUCCCCCAUGCCCUAGCUAAAUUGGACCAUCUCAAGGGUUGUGAGGAGAGUGUGUGUGGUUAAAUGAGAGCCAAGGAAGGGUGGGUGGUGUAGGAUGAAUCUUGGGGGAUAAGUUGUAGAAAAAUUGGCCAUGGUGGCCCCAACCUUAUCCCUUCUCUCUUAUCCUCUCACUCUCUCUCUCUCCUUGGCCAGCCAAACCCUCACCAUUUCCUCUCCAUUUUCAAAAACCCUUAAGCCAGCAAAAAGACAGCGGAAGGAGCAGCCACCGAACACCUGGACGCCAUCGCCACCGCAUACCGCCACUGUUUCCAUGAGCCACCGCCCGCGUGAGCCACCGUCUGUGCCUGACCAUCCUUGCCCGCCUCCCUCACACCUCUCAGCUGCUGUUUUGGAUCUGUUGCAGCUCACCCGAAGCUGUCCCGGCCCCGUUCGACCUCCGUGAGUCAACAUUUAGGCCCGGUUUGGCCUAUUUCCUCAUUCCCGAUCAAUUCCCGCCUAAACCAAGCUAAUUUUCCCUCAUUUCCAGCCAAGAACAGCAACAAAAGUUGUGGGUUUCCAGCCGCCUUUGGAGGCUGUUUUGAGGUGUUUUCGGGCCUUGAACCUUAGGCCCGCUUUGGAGAAAAACGUCCCCCAUGACGUUCCCAAUGUUUCAAUCCGUGCUAAUUGUUAAACGAGUGAGUUUUGCUCACUAAUCCUUACUUAGUAAGGCUAAUGAUUCUUAGAGGUUGUUUAGAUUUGUCGCGACCAAAUUUUUGGGUUUGAAUCACUUAGAGUUUUGGCUAAUGGAUUGUUAAGCUUAGGCUUAACUCGGGCUCUCCCAAGCCUAUACCAAUUCGCGACUUAGGUUCAAGUUUUUUAACAUACAGAUAGAUUUUAUCUAGGAGUCGCCACUAAUCUAUUUUUAGUGGGUCGAUUAGAAACCCAAAUAAAGUAACGGGAGUUUUACUUUACUCUUAUGAACCAGAGACCAAGGGUACGGGGACUUGAUUACGCUAGAUUUCUCUAACGCCCUUUCGGUACCUUUCUUUUUAUUUUGAAAAAUGUUUGGCAAGCAGUUUUGAUUGAUUUUAAAUUUAUUUCCUUAACAUAUGAGGUGAUCAUGUGGGUGCACAAUCCACCAAUUUAACACCCAAAUAAAUAACAAAUAAAUUGCAAAAAAACUUACCUCCAAGCAACGCAAGCAUCUGCGUUGUUAGAUCAGAAUUCAUAUCAACGGUCCUAGGUAUGAUUUCUAAUUAAUAGACAAUUUUCCUUUUUUUUUUGUUUUCACUUAUUUAAUGAAAAUCAUGCAAUAUGCAAUGCAAUAUAACUAAAUAAUCUAAUUAUAAUGUCAAGCAAUUUCUAAUUAAAUGGACCUAAUAACAAUCUCUAAAUGACGUGCAUUUCAUGAAUCUAAUCCUAUAUGACAUUUACAUGACAUUUUUCAUUUUUCCUAAAAAAUGCAAUUUAUCCUAAAGAAUGAAACUAAUUUAUUCUAAGACAUUUUUUUGUAUUUUUCAUGAAAUUCGGAAUUAGGAAAAAUGUGAAAAUUAUCUAACUAGAUUAAGAUUCUAUUUAAUUUGCAUUAGAAAUUAAGUUAAGCCAAAUCCUAAUUUAAACUAAAAUAUUAUCUUAACACAAAUAAUCCUAAAAUGCAAUCUAUCUAAUAUCUAAACUUAAAAUGAAACAUGAAAUUUUAUUCUAAUAUGCAAUGACUUGCAAAGAAUGCAUUAAUUCUACAUGACAUAUGCAUGAUCAUUUUUGCUUUUUUGAUCAAAAUUCGAAAUUAAGAUUGGCAAAUAAUUAACAUACAAUUUAAAUCAGUGAAACGAAAAUCUAACAUCCUAAAUUUAUGUUUUUGGUAUUUUUAUUUAAGAAAUUCGAAAUAAAUAAAUUUCCUAUUCUAGACAUGCAAAAUAACCCUAAAACAAGUAAUAUCCUAAGAUGCAUCUAAUCUAACUCAAAUGUUUUUUUUUUUCCUUUUAUGGGAGCAAACAAAUAAAGGACAACACGGCAACAAAUCCAGCAAAUUAUCAUCGGAUUGGCCAAUUUUAGACAAAAUCACGAAUCGUAUCUCGAGCGUAAGAUCGGAUUGGUGAUUUUUCCGUGCGAUUGCGAGUCGUAUUUUGAGCAUGAAAUUGGACCAUCAAUCAUGUGCACAUUGUGAAAUUAGGAAGAUUUCCUAAUUUAGAAGGCUAAUCGAGAUUUCACAUAUCUUAGCAUAUCGAAAUUUCCAUCAUGGGCAUCAACGAAUAUAUCAAAUAAGGAAAUGAAAUUUUUCGAAAAUCAAAAUAGAUAAGAUUUUUACCUAAUUCGAAUAUUGGCUUCCGAAUUCCAAUCCUCAAACGGCUACUCGUGACCCGAUGUGGUGGUUCUUAGCGGGGUUCACGGGAUGGCUACUCGCCAGGGGGCUUUGCGUGCGGCUCCUUGAUGAUUGCUCGAUUCAACGAUAUGCGCGUGAACCUGAGAAGCAAUCUGCAAAACGAUAACUUUUGUUGUCACAGCAGUAGCAAAGCUUGCCGAGAGAUCUAGAGAACCACAAUGGGGAGAUGCUCCAAAUUUCAAUAAAAUAAGUGUGCGAAAUCGUCCAUCCUUUCAAUGUACACGUCCUCCUUUGCUGAAAGGACGUGUGCCCUUCUCUUGUGUGACCAUGCAUUAAGUGGAAUUUUGCCAUGACUCCCUGAACUUGACCCCCGCCGCUUUGUUAAACGAAGGUGGUCUUGAACUCAGCCCAGAAUUUCUUGAAGCGUCGAUGACCGCUGGACUGAAAGAUCGUUGAAAUUGCUACGGCGUCUUGCUUGGAGGCUGCAAAGGUCGUCGAAGGCUGACGUGUCGUUGUAGCAGAGACAAAUAAAACUGCAGAGUUAUUGCUUAAAACUCGCCCGGAAACCAAGACUGGAACUCGCGUUGAGGAUCUCCGUGAAGAUGCUAAAGUUGUUGAAGAAUUUGCGAGCGUAAUGUACCCAGUGUGUUUUCGGCUUCUCCCCUAGAAGUUUUCUUCCUGGUUAGUGUGUAGUCAAGAGAAAAUAAAUAAAUAAAAUAAAAACUCAAAUUAGAGGCAUGAAUCCGAAGCAAUUCAUGGGAUCAUGGCGGUGGCUCGUGAUUGAAGGACAGUGGAUUGAACGGUGAUGCUCGGUCAUGGAAGGUUGGGGCUAGUAAACGGUGCAGGGCCUUCUUGGUUCGGAACAGAUCAGCAAGACAGGGAUGGCGUCAACAAGGCAACAGCUGGACAACAGAUCAACGCGUGGUCUCGCGGCAGCAGCGAUGGCGGCGAUCGGGUAAUAGUCGGAACAGCAACUACAAGGGUCGGAGCUGCAGUGACGUCAUCAAUGAAGGGGCUGCGGUGGCAUCGUCGAGCGAUCGAGUAAUAACUCAACAGGAUGGCAGCUCGUUGACAAUGUAUCGGGGACGACAAAAGCACCGCGGCAGAAGCAUCGACGUGGGUCUUGGUCAAGAAUUGGCCAAGAAAACUCACUCCCUCCUCUCUCACGUCUCUCAAUUGUGAAGCCCCACUCACGUUUUACUCUCAAUGGCCGUAUGUGUCAACGUUUGGCCCCCUCUAAAACCCUACGAGUAUUAAUCUAUUUAUAGGCCACAGUUUAGGAUUAGGAUUAGGUUUUUUUUUUUUUAAUUUUCCAAAAUCAUAUCCACAAAAAUUUCUUUUCCAAAUGCAAUAUUUGCCUUUCCAAACGCAAUAUUUGCUUUUGAAUUGAAAUCUCAUAAAGAUAAAUCCGUAAAAUCUCCCCAAGGAUACGGGCCUGGGCCAAUUUGUUCUCUUCGAGGGCUUAGCCUGACUUAUCAAAUUAAAGUUUCUGAAGCAUCAAUUCGAACCCAUCCGUCACCAGCCCAAUAUAAAUGCAAAUUAAAAAUAAAUACAUCUAAAACUAUAUGCUAUACAAUUAACUAUUUUUUCAGGGAUAACCUGCUAAAUUGAUCGAUCCUCCCUUGGAACUGCAUAUUAAACCCAUUCCAACAGUUCUAGCCAAGUAACGAAAGAUCCACUUAACAGCUUCCCAAUGCUCCUUACCCGGAUUGCUCAUGUAUCGGCUGACGAGACUCACCGCAUGAGCCAAAUCUGGUCUGCUACAAACCAUAGCAUACAUGAUGCUCCCUACUGCGCUGGCAUAGAGUACUCGAGACAUCUUUACAACUUCCUCAUGUGAAAUAGGGCAUUGUUUCUCAGAUAAUUUGAAGUGAUUUGCUAAGGGUGUACUAACCGGUUUAACUUUACCCAUGUUGAACCGCUCCAAGACCUUCUCAACAUACUUUUUUUUAUUUACCCAAAGCUUACUUGCAUGUCUAUCUCGAAAGAUUUCCAUGCCAAGGAUCCUCUUUACAACACCAAGAUCCUUCAUAUCAAACUCACUACUUAACUGAGACUUUAGGGAAAUAAUGUCUCUCAUUUUUCUUGUAGCAAUCAACAUGUCAUCAACAUAGAGCAUCAAUAGAAUAAGCGACUUAUCAUCCAAAACUUUGUAGUCGACACAAGAAUCAUGCACACUCCUCAUGUAGCCAAUAUGAAGCAUAAAAGAAUCAAACCUUUUAUUCCAUUGCCUCGGAGAUUGCUUCAAACCAUAAAGUGAUCUCUUGAGCAAACAAACACGAUCCUCUUUUCCUUCCACCUUGAAGCCUUCGGGCUGCUCCAUAUAGAUUUUCUCCUCCAAGUCACCAUGAAGGAAUGCCGUCUUCACAUCUAGCUGCUCAAGCUCCAAGUCAUACAUGGCUACCAUAGCUAGUAAAACACGAAUUGAUGUGUGUUUUACAACAGGGGAAAAUAUCUCAUCGUAAUCAAUCCCCUUCUUCUGUGCAUAGCCCUUAGCAACAAGUCGAGCCUUGUAUCUCUCUUGCUCUUUCUCCAUUGCUGCUUCCUUUCUUCGAAGAACCCAUUUGCAACCAAUGACAUUCCGAUCAUUGGGCUUCUUUACAAGUUCCCAUGUCUCAUUCUUUUGUAACGAUUCCAUCUCCUCCAUCAUUGCGGUCAUCCACUUUUUUUUGUGAUCACUUUUCAAAGUUUCAUGGUAGAAGCCUGGAUCGCCAGAGCCUACGGUAAGAGCAUAAGCAACCAUAUCCUCAAAAUUGUACCUCUCCGGUGCUUUGGGAGUGCGCCUUCCUCGACCCGUUGCAAUGGUACGAGGAACUUCUACCGUUUCUUUGACUUCUAGAGCUUCAUCGGAUGACUCGCCAUUCUCUGCAGAUUCUUUGGUUUCAAGCUCCAUAUUAACGAUAGAUUUAUCACUCUCCUCUUCAGCAGCCACGUGUGGCAUGCAGCUUGACUUCAACAUUGCAGAUUCAUCGAAUAUAACAUCCCUGCUCGUCAGAACUUUCUUCUCACUUGGAUCCCAUAAUUUGUAGCCUUUCACUCCUUUCUCGUAACUGAGAAAUAUGCAUUGUUUUGAUUUUGGAUCCAAUUUCGAGCGUUUCGAGCUCUGCACAUGUACAAAAGCAGGACAACCGAAUAUUCUUAAAUUAGAAUAAUCGACAAUUUUACCAGUCCAUACCUCUUCAACAAUUUUGCAUUUAAUUGCAGUUGAUGGAGACCGAUUCACAAGAUAACAUGCCAUGUAGAUAGCUUCUGCCCAAAACUCCUUGCUCAGUCCCGCAUGUAGCCUCAUGCUUCGAGCUCUCUCUAAUAAGGUCCGAUUCAUCCUUUCCGCUACGCCAUUCUGUUGGGGCAUAUCCGGAACUGUGAAGUGACGUUUAAUCCCUUCAUUCUUGCAAAGCUCCAUGAAUGGUGUCGAUUUGUACUCUCCUCCAUUGUCUGAUCUCAAGCACUUAACCUUCUUCCCCAUUGAAGUCUCAACUUCAGCUUUCCAUUCUUUGAACUUUUCAAAGACUUCACUUUUGUGUCGCAUGAAGUAGACCCAAACUUUGCGAGAGAAAUCGUCAAUGAAUGUCACGAAGUAUUCCUUCACUCCUUUUGACUUUACCGGUGAAGGACCCCAUACAUCAGUGUGUACAUACUCGAGCACACCCUUGCUUGUAUGAGUUGCAGCAUUGAACCGUACUCUGCAUUGUUUUCCAAACACAUAAAAUUUGCAGAAAUCUAAUUUGUAUGUUUUUAUACCUUUGAGUGCAUUCCUCUUGUGAAGCUCCAGCAAUCCUUUUUCUCCCAUAUGCCCGAGACGCAUAUGCCAUAGAUAGGUGUUAUCUAUCUCCAUGCUAGCAUCCGUGGACAUAGAUGCUCCACCUUGCACUAUGGUUCCUAUAAGUCGAUAUAGGUUCCCGUGCCUCUGUCCCUUAAGAACAACUAGAGCUCCCUUAAUCACCUUCAAGACUCCACCUUGAGCCGUGUACUUGCAUCCAUUGGAUUCAAGUGCUCCCAAUGAGAUCAAAUUCUUCCUUAGACCUGGAACAUGAUGUACGUCUACCAAGGUUCUAAUCAUGCCAUCAAACAUCUUGAUUUUCACGGUUCCAACACCCACAGUCUUGCACGAAGUAUCAUUACCCAUGAGAACUGAACCACCAUCAUAUGCCUUGUACUCAUCGAAGGCUUCUUGAUGGGGACACAUGUGAAAAGUGCAUCCAGAGUCCAUGAUCCACAAAUCUUCAAAGGUGUCCUUCCCCGACGAUAUGGACAAGACGUCCCCAUCAUUGGUCUCAAUGCUAUCGGCUAUACUUGCCUCAUCCGAGCUCUUCUUCUUUUUCUCGUUCUUAUUUGGACAGAAUCUCUUGGUAUGCCCUUCCUGAUUACACCCAUAGCAUCUUCCUUUGAACCUUCCCUUGGAUUUUGAUCAACCCCUACCGCUCAAUCCUCGAUCCGUUGAUCUUCCUCUUCCUUGAUUGUUUUUCUCCUUUGCAAAGAGUCCCUCUCCCGAAGAUUUUGAAGUACUUGCCAUUUUCUGAGUGUCCUUUGAAAUUAGGGCAGUAGUCACCUCUCCGAUCUCCAGGGUUUCCUUGCCAUAAAGAAGCGUAGUCACCAAGUGGUCAAACGAAUCCGGCAACGAUGCCAGUAGUAGAAGCACUAUGUCUUCAUCCUCAAACUUUACCUCCAAACUUGUAAGUUCACUAAUCAUCUUAUUGAACACGUUAAGGUGUUCCAACAGAUCUCCUCCUUCACUCAUCUGAAGUGAAUACAAUCUCUUCUUCAAGAACAACUUGUUCGUAAGAGAUUUCGUCAUAUAAAUGUUUUCGAGUUUGAGCCAUACCUCCAGAGCAGAUUCGAUUUUCGCUACAUAUUGAAGGGCCUCAUUCGAUAGGUUCAAUCGGAUUGCACUGCACGCCCUCUCCUCCAUGUCAGCCCAAUCAUCAUCAGUGAUGGUGUUCGGCUUGUUUGAUCUUCCCAGAAGAAUCUUUGAUAAACCUUGUUGAAUCAACAGAUCCUUCAUCCUUCUCUGCCAUAGUGUAAAACUAUUCUUCCUAGUGAAUCGUUCACUAUUAAAUCGAACGGUUGAACCUUUUCUAGCCAUCUAGUUAGAAGUUGCAAUACAGGAACGAAGAACCUGGAUUGCUCUGAUACCAAUUGUUGUGCGGAAGAACACCCUAACUAGAUGAGAAAAGUAAACAAGAAUAAUUAAGAACACAGAGAUUUACGUGGUUCGGCGAAAGAUCCGCCUACAUCCACGGGAGAGAGAGACGAUUUCUUAUUUGAGCGUAUCACAAGAGUACAAGGUAUAAUGCUGAAAGUAAAUAGAUCUCCCCACUUUCCUAAACCUAGUAGGAAAGGAAUUCCAUCAUAAAGAUAUUAUCAAAUUUAAAACCCAAAUCUAGGGAAUAUAUUAGGAAACAAAUAGCUUGCAAUCUUCAAGUCUUCCUAGAUUUCCCGAUUGAAUUUUGUGGAAUUCAAGACAAUAUCAACAGUAGUCUCAUCCUAGUUGUGGGACAACAUUUCAGGUCCCUAGAUGCAGCAGACUUGGAUUUUGAAGAUCUCGAAAGUCUGGUGUAGUCUGCUGAAGGCUCCAGUUGGAGUGUGGAGGAUGAUGAAGAGGAGGACGAGUACCCGUAGUUUGUGAAACCCCCACCUCUGCUUGUAGACCUUGAUUCUAAACUUGUUUAAGUUGAAUCCGGCGUAGUAGUCUGCCAUAUAUACAUGUGCACUGGUUUGCAAUGUAUAUAAGUGUGGUUGUUUUUGAAAGUUCGGAAUUUAGUCAUACUUUCUUAUCCCAUUGUUUUAUUGUCUAGGGAUUAUUUAUAUGUUUCCGCAUGCUUAUUAAAAAGAAAGGGUCGGCGAUGUGUCCUAGGAUGUCGCUAUUAAUCGACCAAGAUGAGGGAUGGGUGCAUGCCCAAGGAUUGGGGAGUGACAAAAGUAGUGGAGCAGUUGAGGUCACUCUCCGGGACAUGGUUUCCUUCCUUGUUAAUCACAAGAGGAAAGAAAAUGAAGAAGUCAUAAAGGAGAAAGUUUGCCGGUGCCAUUUGGUUGAAGAAAAUGGAGGGACUAAAGAGGAAAGCGGAAAGUGCGAAAUAAUUGAAGAAUAACCCAUAAAUAUCAACUGUGAUGGUAUUUUCCAAUUGAUUUUAAUUUAGAUUAUCAUAAAGAUAGUGAUUAUUGAGGAUGAAGUGAUUGUAUGAAGUUACUGCAUGAUCAUCCAAAUCAUUAACUAUGUGGGUCAAAUGGUAAAAUCAAAUGAUCAGCGGUCUAGAUGAACUUGAUUUACAUGGGCUAUCGACCAUGCCACUUUUUCUCGUGAUCAAUAUUCAUACCAUGCCCGGCAACAUAAUUUGCUUUAUGUAGUUAUAUCACGUCAAGGACACAUAAUCUGACACUAAUGUUUUCUCAUGGUUUGCACCUUCCACGGAGUCUCGUGUUUGCUUGGGUUGGCUGAAAACAAUAUUUGUCCGGGCUUGGAUUCCUCUAGUCCUCCUCUGUUGCACCCACGCAAACCGAUUAAUCACUAGAGUCGCAUGGGUCCGUGCUCCUAGGAUGGCCACAAGAAAAUGCGCACUUACGGUGAUUCGAAUCAAAUUGAUCAGCGGUAAAGGAGAAAUGAGGUUGAUGUUCGUCUUUUUCCUAGGAGCCCGGCAAGCUCUGCAAAAGAAAAACAAGCUUAGAAAAGGUUCCCAGUAGCAGACGGUCGCAUCCGCAUCGUGCGGCGGGAAUCAAGGAGAGGGCGUAAGCAUUCUGAAAUGGGACUAAUUUACACCGAGAUGCGAUCGACGAGUAACACGAUCGCGGGGGGUUGGUCGAUCUGAUUUUUAACAUUUGCCACUGCCCUCAAAAGAAAAGGGGAAGGGAUGGGGCACCGUCGGGGCAAGAAACAAAAGUCGACGAAGAUUUGGACUAGGAACAGUCCAGGAACCAGCUCAAAUACCAUGUCCCCCAUAGAUUGAACUGAAGAGAAUGGAGACCCCAACUUAGACCGACUUCAAGAACACCGUCGCGGUGGCAAAGGCUGUGCUGUCUGCAGCAGCCUCCGUGACGGCCACUGUGAUGGUGGUGCAGUCGGUGGUUCGACCACUUGUGCCCACGAAUUUCAGGAUUUUCUCUUCUCCGAGAUCCGCAGCUUCCUGUCUCGCUUCUCCAACAAAAUGACCAUGGUUGUCGAAGACUACGACGAUUACGCCCAAAAUGAGCUCUUUCAGGCGGCCCGGGUCUUCUUGGCUGGCAAACAAUCCCUAUUGGUGCGGCGAGUUAGAGUGACCAAGCCCAUGAAGGAGAACCAACUCACCCUGGCUAUGGACCGGAAUCAAGUGCUGGUAGAUGUUAAGAACAGCAAGAACAGAAGCUCUACUGACGCUAUAACUGAUAUCAAUAAGAACAUGGGCAGUAAGAAUAGGGGUAGUAAUAUAUACAAGAGCAACAAAGAGUAAACAUAUGAAGAAGAGGAAGUAGAGAAUAUAAAUGCUGCUGAGAAGAAUUAGAAGAAAACCUGUUUCGAACACUCUGUAUAAUGCUGCAAGUCUUGGCAAGUCUCGGCAGUUAGUUUGGUGUACUUCAGUUUUGGAAGUUAGUUUUUUGCUUCUGUUAGUUAGUUAUCUUUUCUUCAACUGUUCAAUACCUGUAAAUCAGUUUCCAGAGAUAGCCAUUGUAUAUAAAAGGCUAACUCUCGUGAUUGAAAGAGAUACAAGAAAAUAAUAGAAAGAAGUUUUCCAUCUCAAUAUCUCUCUACUGUUCCUUCAUCCCAAGAUUUCCAAUUUCUUCUGUGCGCAUAAACUUCUUCAUGGUAUCAGAGCUGUUGCAUCCUGAAGAAAUCAUCUUGAUGCUGCAGAAAAUAGUUAAAUCUACAUUAGAUCGAAGUUAGAUUUGAAGCUUCAUUGAUCUCUAAAGAUAUCUGUAUCUUCCAACAAGAUCUGUAAGUUGGUACUUUUCAUCCACAUCUAAAUCUUCAUCAGCAAUAUACUUGUUGCAGCGUACUACAAACUAGUAGAAUUUGUGUCUGCAACUAGAGUUGAUCAAAGAUCAAGAAGAAUAGAAUGGCAGCAAGAAGUUUGAGAUAUCCAUUUCCUAUUCAUGUUAAUAUCUCGAAAUUUGUUUGGUUUUGUGAAUGGGGAAAUUUCACCACCUGUAAAGACAUUGCAGGUCGAAGAAGGAGGUCAAACUUCUGAGGUUCCUAAUCCUGAUUAUAAUGACUGGAUAAAAACAAAUCAGCUUGUAUCUUCUUGGAUUAGCGGUGUUGUAUCAGAAAAUAUACUCAGCUUGAUAAUUGGCUUAAAUACUGCUUAUGAAGUUUGGCAAACUCUGCUAAAUCGGUUCACACAAAAGUCAGUAGCUAAGGAGUUCGAGUUAAGAGGAAAACUGCAGGCUUGCCAGAAACGUGAACGAACAUUAUCAGCAUACCUCAAGGAGUACAAGUCAAUAUGUGAUCAAUUGAAUGCCAUAGGAAAACCAGUUGAUGAAAUCACAAAACUAUUUGGAAUUCUAUAAGGCCUGAGAUUUGAGUAUGAAAGUUUUAAAACUACAAUCUAUUGCUUAAAGCCCCAACCAUAAUAUGAUGAAGUAAUCUCACACUUAGAAAGAUUCGAAGCUACGUUACAGAAUUAUUCUUUAAAUCAGUUCAGUCCUAACCUAGCUUACUAUGGCUAGAGGAAAACUGAAGCUAUACAUAAAGAAGAGGCUGACAGAGAAUAUAUACAACAGAAUACUAUUCUUAGAGGAUCAAGAACAAAUAAUCGUGGAGGAAGAGAUUAUGGAAGAGGAAGAACAUAUAAUGCUAGAUACAAGAACUUUGGUUAUCCUGGAAGAAACAUGAGUUACAGAAAUAAUAACUUAAACUAUGAACAAGAAAAUCAGCAGUUCAAACAACUCAAUACCUCCUCUGGCUUGGGUCCUGUUCAAGGAUUUAGACCAUACAAUGUAUCGGCACAAAGGAAUUCUGAUACCAGGUCAUAUCCUGCAUCAAAUUCAACUCUUCACAAAAAGGUGCAGAUGGAGAAAGCAGCAGAACACACUCGACUUGAGUGUCAAAUCUGUAAGAGGCCGGGUUAUGAUGCCUUACAUUGUUGGUAUCGGUUUGAUAACUCCUAUCAAGUUGAGGAGAUACCAACAACACUAGCAUCACUAUAUAUUGAGGAGGCAAAUGAUCAAGAAUGGUUUCCAGACACUGGAGCAACAGCCCAUAUUACCUCUAAUGCUGGUAUACUUCAUAGUCUUUCUAAAAAUAACAAUGUUGAUACAGUCAUGAUAAGCAAUGGUAUGUGUUUACCUGUCAAAUACAUUGGUAAUGCAAUACUGAAUACUGCAAUUGAUGCCUUGCCUCUCAAUGAUGUGCUGAUUGUUCCUGAGAUUAAAAAAAAUCUUCUGUCAAUGUCAAAGUUAACUGAUGAUUACCCAUGUUCCUUUAUCUUUAACAAAACUGGUGUGUAUAUCAAGGACAUCACCACCAACACAACCAUGAGGCUAGGAAGGAAGGUUAGAGGGUUGUACAGAGUAGACCCUCAUGUUGCAGAAGUCUACUUCACUCAAAGACAAAUAAUUGUUGCAGAAAGUAUCUGGCAUCAACGAUUGGCUCAUACAAAUUAGAAUAUCUUGAAGCAUUUGAGGAAUCAAAAUCUGAUUCAAUACAACAAAGAACCACAGUCUGUAUGUAGAAGCUGCCAAAUAGCUAAGAGUACUGCUCUACCUUUUCCAUUAUCAAAUUCUACAGCUACAAAACCUCUAGAACAAAUUCACUGUGAUAUUUGGGGACCUUCUCCAGUUAAAUCUUUUCAGAGUUUCAAGUAGUCAUUUUUGUUGACAAUUUCUCUCGGUUCAGUUGGAUAUAUCCAUUAAAGUUGAAGUCAGAUUUCUAUAGUAUUUUUCUCAUGUUUCAAAAGUUAGUAGAAAAUCAGCAUAGCUGUAAAAUCAAGACUUUCCAGUGUGAUGGUGGAGGAGAGUUUAUUAGCCAAAAAUUCAAAACUCACUUACAGAACUGUGGCAUUCAACAACAUAUCUCAUGUCCAUAUACACCUGAGCAUAAUGGAAUACCUGAAAGGUAACAUCAACAUAUAGUUGAACUUGGUUUGGCUAUGCUAUACCAUGCAAAAAUUCCAUUAAAGUUUUGGGUAGAUGCAUUUGUAACAGCCAACUACAUUGUUAACAUUCUUCCUACUUAAAAAUUACAGAUGCAAUCUCCCUUCAGCAAAUUAUAUCAGCAUAAGCCAAGAUAUGACCAUCUCAGAACCUUUGGCUAUGCUUGCUAUCCCUGUCUUCAACCAUAUGCACAGCACAAGCUUGAUCCACGGUCACUAACCUGUGUCUUUCUAGGACAUAGUGAUCACUAUAAGGGAUAUCGAUGUCUUAUCCCUACUACUGGUCGUGUCUACAUUAGUCGACAUGUAGUAUUUUAUGGGAAUUUCUUCCCUUUCUCUCAGAAAUUAGCAACGGUUUAUCCUUCCUACACACAUUUGUAUAAGUUGUGGAUAGAAGAAGAGCAGUUCCUAGCUUCCUCCACUACAGAUCACAUAAAACAUUUAACUUCUCAGUACACAGGUUGGGAACAAGAAUCCACAGCUAAGCAAACAAAUGAAAUGGUCUUACCUAAAUGCAUAGAACAAGUAGUUUCUAUUUCUCCAGUUGAAUUUCCUAUGGAUCAAGUGUCCACCACUACUCAGAAUAGUCCACAACGAGUUGAAAUACAUGUUCCCAUAACUGAGACAACAAAUGGACCAGAUAUGGAACAACACACUUCAAAUAAUCAGACAAAUUCACAAGGUACAUUACCUACACACCCUAUGCAGACUAGGUCUAAGUCUGGCAUUAUCAAGACCAAUCCUCGAUAUACAUGUCUUGCUAUAUAUGAAGUACCUACUGAACCAGAAACAAUCAAAUCAGCCUUAGCACAUAAAGGCUGGUAUAAAGCAAUGACAGAAGAGAUGGAUGCACUUUAUCAGAAUAAAACUUGGGAAUUAAUCCCUCGAACUGGUCAAAUAAAUGUCAUUGGCUGUAAGUGGGUAUUUAAAACAAAGCUUGCAGUAGAUGGUAGCCUUGAUAGACUUAAGGCUCGAAUGGUUGCUAAAGGAUUUCAUCAGGAAGAAGGCAUUGACUUUACAAAAACUUUUAGUCCAGUCAUCAAACAUGCUACAAUUCGUAUAGUUUUAUCUGUAACCAUGAUGAAACACUAGCCAAUCCAUCAACUAGAUGUCAAAAAUGCAUUCUUACAUGGUACAUUGAAUGAGAUAGUUUACAUGGAGCAGCCUCCUAGUUUUCAAGAUCCCAAGAAACCUCAUCAUGUAUGUCUCCUCAGGAAGUCUCUCUAUGGACUUCGACAAGCUCCUCGAGCCUGGUUUGACAAGUUCAGCAACUUUCUACUUGAAUAUGGGUUCUUUUGCAGCUCAACUGACCCAUCCUUAUUCAUCUAUCAUACUGAUAUAGACACCAUUCUUCUACUACUAUAUGUUGAUGACAUUAUCCUGACUAGAAGCUCCUCUCAGUUACUUUCCAACCUUAUCCAUUCUCUAAGUCUUCAGUUCUAUAUGAAAGACCUUGGCCCACUACAUUACUUUCUUGGCAUUGAAGUUAAAAAUACUUUUGAUCACCUGUUUCUUUGCCAUACUAAAUAUGCCAGUGAUCUUCUUACUCGAGCUCAUAUGCUUGAGUGCAAACCAAUUACCACCCCUAUAUCACUAAAACCAAUUGUUCUGAUAAAUGAUUCUACUCCCCUCUCCAAUCCUGUCGAGUAUUGAAGCUUAGUAGGUGGCCUUCAGUAUCUAACUUUAACAAGACCUGACAUUGCAUAUGCUACAAAUCAGCUAUGUCAGAAAUUACAGAAACCCACUAUUGCAGACUUACAUAAACUCAAGAGAGUUUUGAGAUAUGUCAAAGGCACUAUAAGUCUUGGAGUCUUCAUGCACUCUUGAAGCUCUCUCCACCUGUAUGGGUUCUCAGAUGCAGAUUGGGCAGGAUGUGUUGAAACAAGAAGAUCAACAACAGGUUUUUGUACAUACCUUGGCUCCAAUCUCAUAUCUUGGGCAGUAAAGAAUCAAUCCACAGUCAGUCGAUCCUCUACAGAAGCUGAGUAUCGUGCUCUUGCUUCUACAUCUGCUGAACUUACCUGGAUUAGCUUUGUCCUUCGUGAUAUAGGAUGCUCAUUGACUCGUCCAACACAGCUCUUUUGUGACAAUAAAUUAGUCAUUUCUCUUACUAUCAAUCCUGUCUUACAUGCUCGCACCAAACACAUUGAGAUUGACUUUCAUUUUGUUAGGGAAAAAGUCUCCUCAUGGUCACUACAAGUGAAAUAUGUUCCAAGUAACUAUCAACUUGCCGAUAUAUUCACAAAAUCUCUUCCUCGUAUUACACACUAUCAGCUACGAAUCAAAUUAGGAAUUGGUUUCUCACCCAUUCCCAAUUUGAGGGGGAAUGUUAAGAACAACAAGAACAGAAGCUCUACCGAUGCUAUUAUUGAUAUCAGUAAGAACAGGGGCAGUAAGAACAGGGGAAGUAAUAUAUACAAGAGCAACGAAGAGAAAACAUAUGAAGAAGAGGAAGUAGAGAAUAUAAAUGCUGCUGAGAAGAAUUAGAAGAAAACCUGUUUCGAACACUCUGUAUAAUGCUACAAGUCUUGGCAAGUCUCGGCAGUUAGUUUGGUGUACUUCAAUUUUGGAAGGAAGUUAGUUUUUUGCUUCUGUUAGUUAGUUAUCUUUUCUUCAACUGUUCAAUACCUGUAAAUCAGUUUCCAGAGAUAGCCAUUGUAUAUAAAAGGCUAACUCUCGUGAUUGAAAGAGAUACAAGAAAAUAAUAGAAAGAAGUUUUCCAUCUCAAUAUCUCUCUACUGUUCCUUCAUCCCAAGAUUUCCUAUUUCUUCUGUGCGCAUAAGCUUCUUCAUUAGAUACGUUUUGCGGGAUCAAACUCAAGUGGGUUCUCAUGUCGAGACAAGUCAACUCAGGCUACCAAGUUCCUGAGGGCCGGAACCCGAUGGCUGAGCACGAAGUUCAGUAUUUCGAGCUCACUUUUCACAAGAGACAUAGGGAGAUCGUGGUCGAUUCCUAUCUGCCUUUCAUCAUCGAGGAGGCCAACUCCAUCAAGCGGAAGAAGAAGACGUUGAAGUUAUACUCUUCGAACUCCAAAGGCAGUAAUUUUCGUCCACAAUUAAGUUGGAAUCAACGAGGUUAUCUCUAAAUAUGUUUAAUUUCACAGAAUCAUCUUAGUUCAAUGGGACUCGUCGGAAGUAUCGUAGACAGUUGCAAUCAAAUGGUCAAGUCCAAAUAUAAGUAUUGGCUACAGAAAAGGUCACGUGUAAAAUUUUAAAGAACAUUAGGGUCAAAACUCACUGGAACAGUCUUGCACCUCUUGUAUACUAUCUACUCUGAUUCUGCUCUCUAUUUCUUCAACAGAAGAUUGAAUUUUGUAUCUCCAUCACAAUUUCUUUCCUCUACAGGUUCUCUCUCGGGUAAGUGGUCUCUGGUGAACCUCAACCACCCGGCGACAUUUGAGACGCUAGCCAUGGACCCAAAGCUCAAGAAGAUGCUCAUCGACGAUCUCGACAGAUUCAUAGGAGGAAGGAGUACUAUAGGUGAUCCGGCAGAAACUUUUGGUAUCAAAGUGAGCGUCGUACACAAUUUAUGGCACCAUUAGUAUACUUAUCCCCCUAUAGUACUCCUUCCUCCUCACGGUGGCCAAGCGACGAUGGCCGAGCAAGCUAGGUCGGCGAGGAUGAACAAAAAAAAAAACCCUAAUUUCAAUCACAAAUGAGCUAUACGGCAUAGUUUUUCCUAAGCCAUCCACAUAGGACGGCAACUUAAGUGAUCCGACGGAAACUUUUGGCACCAAAAUGAGCGCCAUAUACAACUUAUGGCACCAUUAGUGUACUUAUCCUUACUAUAGGAGAGUCGGCAAGGUGUGAAAAAGAGGGUACUUAUUGUAUGGACCUCCCGGCACAGGGAAAUCGAGCCUAGUCGCGGCAAUGGCCAAUUACAUGAAAUUUGACAUAUAUGACCUAGAGCUAAGCGGGCUCUGGAGUAACGCGGAACUCAGGAGGCUGCUCGUCACCACUGCGAAUCGGGCCAUAUUAGUGGCCGAGGACGUCGAUUGCACCAUCACGUUGCAAGAUAGGAGGUCGGAAGCCCAAGCCACAAGCACGAAUACAAUGUCGUCCCCAUAUCGGCAACAGGAUGCGGUACAAUUUUUUUUUUCUUUUGGCAUUGUUUUUCAGUAUUAGGUUUACUUCUAGUGUUGCCUCCUAUGCAUAUGAUCCAUCCUUGACAUUUAACUUAUAUUUGUCACUAUGACAUUGAUUUCUUUCUCAUGGAACAGCUGACGUUGUCUGGAUUUCUUAACUUCAUUGAUGGGCUUUGGUCUAGCUGUGGCGAUGAACGGAUCAUAGUCUUCAUGACGAACCAUAGGGAGAGACUAGACCCGGCUCUAUUGCGUCCAGGGCGCAUUGAUGUAGAAGUUCCCAUGCUCUACUGCACUCCGUGCGGUUUCAGGCUUCUCGCUGCUAAUUAUCUUAGGAUCAAUCACGACGAGCUCUUCAACCAUAUUGAGAGUUUGCUCAAGACAGCCAGAGUCACUCCAGCCGAAGUAGCCGAGCAAUUGUUGAAGAGUGACGAACCAGAGGUGGCUCUCAGGGAUAUGGUUACCUUCCUCGUUGAUCACAAGAGGAAAGAAAAUGAUGAAGUCAUCAAGAAGAAAGUUUGUCGGUGCCAAUUGGUCGAAGAAAAUAGAGUGAGUGAAGAGAAAAGCGGAAAGUGCGAACUAAUUGAAGAAUAAAUAAUAAAUAUCGACUGUGUUGGUAUGUUUCCAUCAAAUUUAAUUUGGAGUAUUAUAAAGAUGGUGAUUAUUGAGGUCACAGAAGCAAUUGAUGGGAAGUUAUUGCCCGAUCAUCGAAAUCAUUAAUUAAGUGGGUCGGAUGGUAACAUGGCAUGUAAUUUAAGUGAAUUUAAUCAAGAGUUUAGAUGAACCGUGUGAUAUUUUUUUCGUAAUUGAUAUUCAUAUCAUGCCGGCACUAUAUUUUGCUUUAUAUAGUUAUAUCACGUCAACGACACAUAAUCAGACAGUAAUGAUUUCUCAUGUUUAGGGCCUCCCAUGAUUUUUUUUUAGUAUUUGCUUGGGUUUGCCGAAAACGUUAUCCAUCUGGUUUAGUCCAACCAUUUGGUUCAAGGUGUAUACUGAUCUGAGCACCCUGCUAAUUCUUGAUAGUCUUCCGUUGCACACACAUCAAUUAAUUACUAAAUUCACAUAGGUCCGUGUUUUGAGUAUGUCCUCAAGAAAAUGCGGAAGUAGAGUGGUUUGAAUUCAAUCGAUCAGCGAUAAAAGACAAAUGAGGUCGUCGUUUGCACAAUCCCAUGAGGUUCUCACUUGCGUAAUCAUUUAGGGGUUACCAUUUUUUCCCAGAACACCACAAGCUUGGCAAAAGCGGAAAGACGGCAAAAGGUUCCAACUAUCUCUGGUUUUUCUUGCUCGUAUCGUGCAGCGAGAGUUAAGGAGAGAUUGAUAAAUAAAUCAUUCUAAAUGUAACUGAUCUAUUCAAAUUUUGAUCUUUAACUAGUCCCGCCAAUCAAUAAACAAGCCUAUGCUAUCUAAUUAAACUAAAUUGAAGUGGAAUGUGCCGUGGUUUUGCCUUACAUCGAGAUGCAAAUCAUUGAAUUAGAUGUUGCGUGGGAGAUUGGUCGAUAGGAUUUUAACAUCAAGAUCAAACUUUACGAAGACUUGGACUAAGAACAGUGUAUGAAUUAACUUCGUCCAGAAGGUAACACAAAGGCGUACCAUGCGGCGUUUGUCCCUUUGUGCUUUACAGCCAGACUUCCUCCAUGCGUUUGUCCUUUUGUGCUUUACAGUCAGACUUCCGUGGAGAAUGUCACUAGCUCACCCCUUUAAAUGCAAGACCGACUCAUUGACAAUAACAUAUGCAUCUACAAUUCUCUAAUUCUCUUAUAUAUGGCCACUUGCAACUCACGAUACCCUCCGAUCAAAUACCAUCUAUACCAAACAAAGUAAACUGAAAGAAUGGUGACCUAUUCCAAACAAAUUAAACUGAAAAGAAUGGUGACCCUGACUCGAAAUGUAUGAAGUUGAAGAGGUUGACAAAGGAGUUAGUGCUAAUUAAACCGCGGGCACGCAGGUGGGUAUGAUGGAGUUUAGUCCACAACCAAUCAUCUCUUUAGGUACACUAAAGAAACCCCACACUUAUUAAUUGACUCACUUCCUCUCACGUUUCCUAUGUGAGACAAAGAAACAUGCACUUAGUUUGUUUUACGAACAAACUUCCAACACAAACAACUCCAAGAACCCCGUGUGGCGGCCAAGGCAGUGCUGUCUGCCGCAGCCUCCAUGAUGCCUCCAUGAUGGUGGUGUAGUUGCUGGUUCGACGUCAAAGGCAACUGUCUGUGGAGGCAUCUGAGCAUUAAUUUUGUACUGCUUCAGAAAAUUUUUGCACCAUACAUGGCUUAAUUGAAAAAUGUGCAUACUUGUCCGAACACACUGCAUUAUUUUCCGAGUAUGAUGGCUUCUCUCGUGUUGGAAGUAUGGCACUCAUGGGCGCUGGCAUUCCAUUAUGAGAACGUAUAGCAGUGUUCCGGUGGGUCUUGUCGGUGAAGUUGAUCCAGUGACGGGUGAAAUAACUGAUUACCAGAUACUUACUGAUAUACUUUUAAGUGUUACUUUUGUUUGUUUCAUUUGUGCUUAUAUGAAAAGCAAUGCACUUUUAGUUGAUGCUUGAUAGAGAAUCCUUUAGAACCAUGUCCACCUGUAGGAUUAUCCUUGUCUGCAAAAUUUGUGUAUUUUCACGUAUAUCUUAGUUAUCUUUCACAGUUACGGCGCAGAUGCUUUUGAAAUCCUUUUUUUUCCUGCUUUUCUUGAGAAAUGAUCCUGCAAGUUAACUUGAUCAUUGCUAUUUUACUUACAGGGUUUGAUGAGCAUGUCCUUUUCUAGGGUCUGGAAGAUCAUCUUGGAGAUAUGGACUUUAAAAUUGCUGGCACUAGAAAGGGAGUUACGGCUAUUCAACUGGACAUAAAACCAACUGGAAUACCUCUGGACAUCAUAUGCGAAUGUUUAGAACCUGCACAUAAAGGCCGUCUGCAAAUUUUGGACCACAAUAUACAGAGAAAUCAGUUUACCACAUACCCAGUAUGAUAGAGAUACUCCUCAAUUAGGUCAACUUCUUGACUGUUCAUAGUCCCAUGUUUCAUUAGUAUGAAAAGCCAUGCUUUGACUGAAAUUUCGUUAUUUUAAUUCAGCAACUCUUACGUACAUCAAUGAUGCUCUAUAUGAAAUAUUUUGAUUCACAAAGUACCGAUUACAUGUAAUACGAGAAAAGCAUUAUAUUGGAAAUUGUAAACUUUAUUUUAUUUGGUUACUUAGCUAAUAUUUAGUGGGCAUUUUUUAUUAAAUGCUUACAAAUAAAAUAAAAGUUUGCUCAUUUUCCCUUACCAAUAAAUACUUCGAGAUUAUACAUAAACGAGAGCAUUUGUGAAUAAAGGUAGUUUGAAAAGCCCCUGCAUCACGUGCUCUUCUCUUUGAAAUCCGACUAACUCAUCUAAAACCCACUCCACCUCCUCUCUUGGUCUGCCUUUGCCUCUGCUCGACAAGCCUCGACACCAUGUCUAAACAUUCGCAAGAAGGGAAGCCUAAAAGAAGGAUUAUGACAGAUUAAGAAGUAUGUAGAGACAUCGGAGAAUUGAUCCAAGAUUUGGAAAAAAGGUCAGUGUUUUGCGGGAUCUGAGCACUGACUAUGUGUUGGUAUUUGAUUUCUCCAAUAUCACUUUCUUGGAUGAAAUUAGCAGAGGAAUUGGCAGAGGUGGAAAUAGAUCCAGUGUUUUUAGGGGCAUGCAUCGUGGGCAUUCCAUUGCCCUGAUAAAGUUCCCUACUAGACAUGUCACGAUAGAUGAAGAUGUGGUCAAUGUUUUAAUUGAGAGUCAACAUCAAAACACCAUGCACAAUCGUGUAGUGUCUUGUUACAGGGGAUCCAUAUUAAUACUAUAGCGCUUCACUUACGUAGCUUGAAUGAUAUUGUUAAUUCUCAAUAUCUGCCCUACUGAUGAACCCUCAAUUGUCCAAUAUAAAAGGAAGAUAUUAUCUUAAGGAAAUGUUGAGGGAUAUAAAACUGUGGAUUGAUGAUAAACCAUCGUGGAUUAUGCUAAAACUUAUGAGGAAUGCAAAAAAUUUGGAUUAGAUGAUGCACGGCACAGCAAAUUAACAUGUUAUUUGUAUUCUGAAAUACACAGAUUUGGUACCAGGUCUUGAACUAUAGUACAUGAUAAUUUGAGAUCAGAAAAUAUUUUGAUCAUAGAAUUUGAGGUUCUAUUGGUGAAAUCUCAUAUGUCAAUGUCAUGGAUAGAUCAAUCUAACGUUCCUUAACUCAUGCGGCCUUAACAUUUUUCCCAAGUCAAUUUUACUCACAAUCGACUCAUACUUGUGAAUAAGAUGAUACAAAUUAGGGGAGGAGACUCUUAUAUAUAUUAGUACAAGACAAACCGUAUCCGUAGAUCUCUCCUUGAUUUAACAGUAGAUAUUGCAUCUUCCCAAGUCCAAUUACCCGUAUUUAUUACAUGCGUAUAUAAUUAUGUAUCGUCCACUCCAUAGAGUAUUCUAAAACACUUGAGAAAAUCUUAGAACUUUGGGAAAUAUGUGGCUCAUAUGGUGAAAUCACAUGGUCAAUAAUCUAGGCGAACUCGAUUUACAUAGUCUAUCAACCACCUGAAAUCUUUUCGUGAUCGACAUUCAUAUCAUGCCGACAAUAUAAUUUGCUUUAUGGCGUCAAGAACAGGCAAUGUGGCAGUAAUGCUUUCUCAUGAUUUGGACCUUCCACGGAAUCUCGCAGUUGCUUGGGUUGGCAGAAAAAAAUAUUUGUCUGAGCUUGGAUUCUAGUCCAAUCAUUUGACUCGCACUAAUUCCCGAUAGAUUCCUAGUCAUCCUCUGCUUUAGUCACAUGGGCACGUCCUCCAGGGAUGGUCCCAAUCUCAAGAAAAUGCGCACGAAAUUGAUCGGCAACGAAGAGAAUUGAGUUCAUGCUUCUUUUCCUAGGAACCCUACAAGUUUGGCAAAAGCAAACUGAGCCAGGAAAGGUUCCCCACUAAUAUUAGUUGUAUUCGAAUGGACUUUACUAAUAUAAAAGUCUUUAAAUACUGUGAGAAUAAUAAUUUAUUAUAAAUCAUAAAUUUUUAAAGGAGUAAACCUUAUAAUAAUUUAUAAUAAUUUAUUAUUUGAUUUUUUUUGUGAUUAAAAAAAGGUUGUUAUUUUAAUAAUAAAGUAAAAAUUAUCAUAUAAUCAUUUCUUUAUUCGAAUCAGGCAGCGGGAGUUAAGGAGAGAGCGGUCAAUAAAUCAUCCUAAAAUGGAGCUAACCUACAUCGAGAUGCGAUCAGUGAAUAAGAUAAUCGCCCGGGGCUGGUCGAUCUGGUUUAAAUAUUUGCUACCACCCCUCGAAAGAAAAAGGCCAAGAACGACUCACCGUCGGGGGCAAGAACCAAGGUCUUCGAAGACUUGGACUAGGAACAGUCCAGGAACCAGCUCAGACAAGAAGGAUUCCGUCAUUUGCAGAGAAUUCAUCGCCACUUUCAUCUCCCGAUUCCCUCCGGUCAUAUACCGUCAGUUCCCCAUAGAUUGAACUCAAAAGAAUGGUGACCCCGCCUCUAAACGACUCCAAGAACCCCAUCGCGGUGGCCGAGGCAGCGCUGUCUGCCGCAACCUCCGUGAUGGUGGUGCAGUCGGUGGUAAGAACGUUCAUGCCCCCCGAAUUCCAGGGCUUCCUCUUCUCUGGUAUCCGCGGCUUCUUGUCUCGCUUCCGCAGCGAAAUGACCAUGGUCAUCGAACAGUACGAUGGGUACGCCCAGAACGAGCUCUUUCGGGCGGCCCAGGUUUUCCUGGCCGCCAAGCAAUCCCCUUCGAUGACGCGCAUGCGAGUGACCAAGUCCCCGAAGGAGAACCACUUCAAUCUGGCUAUGGACCGGAAUCAAAAGCUGGAGGAUACGUUUCACGGGGUCAAACUCAAGUGGGUUUUCGUGUCGAGACAGGUCGACUCGGGCAACCGAGUUCAUCAAGGCCGGAAUUCAACGGCUAAACACGAAGAGCAAUACUUCGAGCUCACUUUUGACAAGAAACACAGGGAAAUCGUGGUCAAAUCCUAUCUGCCUUUCCUCAUCGACGAGGCCAAGUCCAUAAAGCAGGGGAAGAAGACGUUGAAGCUAUACACUCCGGGCUCCAACGGUAAUUCUACUAUUAGAAGUGGAAAAAGAGUGAUGCUAAAUUCACAAAAACUCCGUAGUUCAAUCAGUAAAAUCCUAAAGAAGAUUAAGAACAAAAUUCAGUAGAGCCAGCCUUGCACCUUCUUAUCUAUGAUUCUGCGUUCGAUUUCUUGAACAAAAUACUGAAUUUUGUAUCUCCAUCACAUUUUGUUUCCUAUAGGUCCUUACCCAAGUGCGUCAGGUGCGUGGUCCCCAGUGAACCUCGACCAUCCGGCGACAUUCCAAACACUAGCCAUGGACCUGGAGCUCAAGAAGAAAAUCAUGGAUGAUCUCGACAGGUUUGUGAGAAGGAGGGAGUACUACAGGAGAGUUGGCAAGGCGUGGAAAAGAGGGUACUUAUUGUAUGGACCCCCUGGAACGGGGAAAUCGAGUUUGGUCGCUGCGAUGGCCAAUUACUUGAACUUCGACAUAUACGACCUAGAACUGAGCGGGCUCCUGAGCAAUGCGGAUCUCAGGAGGCUGCUUGUCGAGACCAAGAAUCAAUCCAUAUUGGUGGUUGAGGACAUCGAUUGCACCAUUCAGUUGCAAGAUAGGAAGUCGGAAACACAAGCCGCCAACAUGAAUUUGAUGUUAAUGGGUUAUAAGCGACAAUAUCAAGUACAAUUUUUUUCUUCUUGCUUUCUUUUUGAGUAUAAGUUCUAGUACCGUGAACAUGAUUUGUCCUAGACAUUUAACUCAUGUUUGUGACUACAACAUUAAUUUUUUCCUCAUGGAAUAGGUGACAUUGUCUGGAUUCCUCAACUUCAUUGACGGGCUUUGGUCGAGUUGUAGUGAUGAGCGGAUCAUAGUUUUCACAACAAACCACAUUGAGAAAUUAGACCCAGCCCUAUUGCGGCCAGGGCGCAUGGACUUGCACAUUCCCAUGUCUUAUUGCACCCCUUGCGGGUUUAGGCUUCUCGCUUCUAAUUAUCUCGGGAUCGAUCACCACGAGCUCUUUGGCCAGAUCGAGAGUGCGAUCACAACAGCCAGAGUCACUCCAGCCGAGGUAGCGGAGCAGUUGAUGAAGUGCGAUGAACCGGAGGUCGCUCUUGGGGACAUGGUUUCAUUCCUCAUUAAUCACAAGAGAAAAGAAAAUGAAGAAGUCAUUGAGGAGAGAGUUGGUCGGUCCCAAUUGGUUGAAGAGAAUGGAAGGCGUGAAGAAGAAAGCAGCGAGUGCGAAAUAUUGGAAGAAUAAACAAUAUAUCAACUGUGUUGGUACGUUUCCAUCGAUUUUAACUUAGACUAUUAUGAAGAUCUUGAUUAUUGUGGAUUCAAUCACAAAAGCGAUCGAUGGAAAGCUAUCGUGUAUUCAUCCGAAUUAUUAAUAAUCUGAGUCCAAUGGUAAAAUCAUGUGAUCAAACGGAGUAAAUGAACUCAAUUUAUAUGAUUUACGAGCCAUGCGAUAUUUUUUAGCGAUUGAUAUUCAUAUAGUGCCGAUGGUAUAAUUUGUUUCAUAUAGUUAUCGCGUCAAGGACUUAUAAUCAGACACUGAUGAUAUCUCAUGUUUUGGGCCUCCCAUGACAUCUUGUAUUUGCUUGGAUUGGCUGAAACCAUUCCCUGUCCGAUUUAGACCAACCAUUGGGGUCAAGGUCAUUUCGGUCUUUUUGUUCCUCAUUGGCGAGAUGGAAAUUUUCUCUUUUUUCCUUUUCUUUUAAUAUUACAGGGGUUCUGGACUUAUUUGAGUUUAAUAUGAUAAUCCUCCAUUGCACACAUAUCGAAUAAUUACUAGAUUCACGUAGGUCUAUGCUCUGAGUAUAUGGUCUUAACAAAAAUGCCCAAAUACAAUGGUUCGAAUUGGAUCGAUGAGCGAUCAGUGAAGAUGAGGUUAUCACUUGCGUAAUCUUUUAUGGUUUGUUUUUAUCCUAGAAAACGAUAAGCUUAGCAAAAGCAGAACGACCGACAAAAGGUUCCAAUUAACGAUAGUUAUUCAUAUCGUGCAGCGGGAGUUAAGGAGAGAUUGUUAUAUAAAUCAUUUAUAAAUGCAACUGAUUUACUGGAAUUUUGAUCUUUAAAUAGUCCAGCCAAUCGAUGAACGAGUUUAUACUAUCUAAUCAAAUGAAAUUGUAGUGAAAUGUGCUGUGAUUUCUCCCUUACAUCGGAAUGCAAAUUCAGUGAAUUUGAUAAUUUCAUGGGAUCGGUCGAUCUGAUUUUAACAUCAAGAUUAAAGUGCACAAAGAGACUCAGAACAGUGCAUGAAUCAGCUUGGUCGAGAAGGUAACACAAAAGUGCAUCAUGCAUUUGUACCUUUGUGCUUUACAAUCAGACUUCCAUAGGACCGACUCAUUGACAAUAACGUAUCCAUCUACAAUUCUCUAAUCCUCUAUUGGUUCUUUCCCGAGUGCGUGGUUGCCUGUGAACCUCGACCAUGCGGCGGCAUUCCAGACGCUGGCCAUGGACCUAGAGCUCAAGAAGAUCCUCAAUGAUCUCGACAGGUUCGUGAGGAAGAGGGAGUACUAUAGGAGAAUUGGCAAGACAUGGAAAAGAGGGUACUUAUUAUAUAGACCGACUGGAACGGGAAAGCAAGCAUGGUUGCCACAAUGGCCAAAUACUUGAACUUCGAUAUAUACAACCUAGAACCGAGCAGGCUCCACAGCAAGGUGGAGCUUAGGAGGCUGCUCGUCGACACCACAAAUCAGUCCAUAUUGGUGGUCGAGGACACUGAUUGCACCACUAAGUUGCAAGAUAGGAUGUCGGAAACACGAACCACCAGCAUGAAUCCGCUGUCGAUGGGUUAUUAGCGACAAGAUCGAGCACAAUUUUUCCUUUUGGCUUUUCUUUUUUGGUAUGAGGUCUUGUUCAAUUGCUGCAUACUAUGAAUAUGAUCCAUCUGCGAUAUUUAACACAUGUCUGUACCUUCAACAAUUUUUUUUUUCCUAAUGGAAUAGUUAAGGUUGUCUAGAUUUCUCGACUUUAUCGAUGAGCUUUGGUCGAGCUACAGUGAUAACGAAUUAUAGACUUCACAAUAAACCAUAUUGAGAAACUAGACCCAGCCCUAUUGCACCCAAGGCACAUGGAUUUGCACAUUCCCAUGUCCUAUUGCACCCCUUAUGGAUUCAGGCUUUUGUUGCGAGUCAAUUGAUCUAAUGUUCCCUAACCCAUGCGGCAUUAGGUCUUCUUUCAAGUCAGUCUUACUCACAUUCAACUCACAAAAAUCAUAGAGAGGAACUCUAAAACGAGAAUUAUUAGUAUAUUUCACUUGCGAAUAAGAUGAUGUAAUCUAGGGAGAGGAUGCCCCUAUUUACACAAGUACAGGGCCAACCAUAGCUGUAUAUCUCUUCUUGGAUCUAAUGGUGGGGUUUAAAUCUCCCAAAAUCAUCACAAUCAUUACUUAGAUGUACACUUAUCCUAUUGCCCCUUUCCAAGGAGUAUUUUAGAACACCCUAGGGCUUCGGCAAGCUGGAGAGUCAUUUGUUCAUGGAUGGGUCAUGACCCUUUAUUUGGGAAACUUUGGAGCGCAUCAAUUUCUUCGGUCGUGACACUUCUCACUUCUAUUUAUCUUGGGAUCAAUCAUCACAAGCUCUUCGACCAGAUCGAGAGUACGAGUACGACAUCUAGAGUCACUCCAGCCAAAGUUGUGAAGCAAUUGAUGAAGUGCGACAAACUAGAGGUCACUCUUGGGGACAUGGUUUCCUUCCUCGCGAAUCACAAGAGGAAAGAAAAUGAAAAAGUGAUCAAGGAGAAAGUUCGUGGUCUUGAUUGUAGAAAUUGGAGGAAAUAAAGCAACGAAGGUGAGCUAAUUGAAAAAUAAAUAAUACAUAUUGACAGUAAUGGUAUGUUUCCAUCAAUUUUAUCCAUAUUAUUAUAAAGUUCUUUGUAUUAAGCAUGAUAAUAUGACAACUAGACUCAUCAAACUAAUAGGUCAAAUCGAACCAAAUUUGAAAACAAUAUAACCCUAAAUGUAAAUUUGGAGACCCAUAUCCAACUUGGCUCAACGUCUACUUUUAGCAAUUUUUUCUUUUUAAAUUGUUGUUUUGAAGAAUAGGCGACUCCAUGGACUAGCUCGUCGAGUUACUGAGGGAGCUCGGGGUUUAGUUAUAGACAAGAGUAUUAAAGUGACGGUGAAAGUCCAGCCUGGGCCUUGCAUAAGUCAUGAAAGAGUUUGGGCUUUAAACUCAUUUCCUGUUAUUUGUAAAAUCUUAAAUGACCCAUACGCAACCUGGCCCAUAGAAUGUGAAUUGAAAAACGGGUUCACACCCCCCAUGCCUUGCUCCAAUGCAACUUAUCGGUUUGAAGUGACGCAUCUGGCAGCUGACCAGUAAGAUUGUCUCCAAGUCAUGGGGAAGGAAUUACAUGUCUGAACAGCUGAUGAUCGGCUUAAUCUUUUCUCUUCCUCAAGUCAUGUAUCAGAAAAUCCAAAUAAACCCUUUAUGUACUAGCAAACGUUCCUGAAGAUUCCUGUGCAGCUAAUAACAAAAUCAGAAGGGGUAAUUCACAUAGACAUUUCACCAAGCAUGUGGGUGACAACAUGCAUAUUUCCAACAGACUCAUAUUUGUGAAUGAGAUGAUACAAAUGAGGGGAGAAAACCCUUAUAUAUAUUAGUACAAGGCAAACCAUAUCCGUAAAUCUCUCAUUGAUUUAACAGUAGAUAUUGCAUCUCUCCAAUUUCCAAUUACCAUAUUUAUUACAUGCGUAUAUAAUUACGUAUCGUCCACCCCAGAGAGUAUUCUAGAAUACUUGAGAAAAUCCUAGAACUUUAGGAGAUAUGUGACUUAGAUGAUAAAAUCACGUGAUUAACAAUAUAGGCGAACUCGAUUUACAUAAUCUGUCAACCACCUGAAAUCUUUUCGUGAUCGAUAUUCAUAUCAUGCCGACAAUAUAAUUUGCUUUAUAUUGUUAUGUGGCGUCGAGAACACACAAUGUGGCAGUAAUGAUUUCUCAUGGUUUGGACCUUCCACGGAAUCUCGCAGUUGCUUGGGUCGGCUGAAAAAAUUAUUUGUCUGAGCUUGGAUUCUAGUCCAAUCAUUGGACUCGAAUUAAUUCUCGAUGGAUUCCUAGUCAUCCUCUGCUUUAGUCACAUGGGUACGUCCUCCAAGGAUGGUCUCAAUCUCAAGAAAAUGCGCACGAAAUUGAUCGGCAACGAAGAGAAUUGAGUUCAUGUUUCUUUUCCUAGGAACACGACAGGUUUGGCAAAAAGCAAAAUGAGGUAGGAAAGGUUCCCACUAUUAUUAGUCGUAUUCGAAAGGGCUUUAUUAAUAUAACAGUAUUUAAAUAUUAUGAAAAUAACAAUCUAUUAUGAGUCAUAAAUUUUCAAAAGAAUGAGUUUCAUAAUAAUUUAUAAUUAUUUGUUAUUUGAUUUUUUAUUGUCCAGAAUAAGUUGUUAUUUUAAUAAUAGAGUAAAAAUUAUUAUAUAAUCAUUUCUCUAUUCGAAUCGUGCAGCGGGAGUUAAGGAGAGAGUAGUCAAUAAAUCAUCCUAAGAUGGAGCUAACCUACAUCGAGAUGCGAUCAGUGAAUAAGAUAAUCGCACGGGGCUGGUCGAUCUGGUUCGAAUAUUUGCUACCACCCCUCGAAAGAAAAAGUCCAAGAAGGACCCACCGUCGGGGGCAAGAACCAAGGUCUUCGAAGACUUGGACUAGGAACAGUCAAGGAAUCAGCUCAGACAAGACGGAUUCCGUGCAUUUGCAGAGAAUUCAUCGCCACUUUCAUCUCCCGAUUCCCUCCGGUCAUAUACCGUCAGUUCCCCAUAGAUUGAACUGAAAAGAAUGGUGACCCCGCCUCCAAACGACUCCAAGAACCCCAUCGCUGUGGCCAAGGUGGUGCUGUCUGCCGUGGCCUCCAUGACGGCCUCCGUGAUGGUGGUGCAGUCGGUGGUUCGACCAUUCAUUCCCCCCGAAUUCCAGGGCUUCCUCUUCUCUGGGAUCCGCGGCUUCUUGUCUCGCUUCCGCAACGAAAUGACCAUGGUCAUCGAACAGUACGAUGGGUACGCCCAGAACGAGCUCUUUGGGGCGGCCCAGGUUUUCCUGGCCGCCAAGCAAUCCCUUUCGAUGACGCGCAUGCGAGUGACCAAGUCCCCGAAGGAGGACCACUUCAAUCUGGCUAUGGACCGGAAUCAAAUGCUGGUGGAUACGUUUCACGGCGUCAAGCUCAAGUGGGUUUUCGUGUCGAGACAGGUCGACUCGGGCCACCAAGUUCAUCAAGGCUCAACGGUUCAGCACGAAGUUCAGUACUUCGAGCUCAGUUUUCUCAAGAAACACAGGGAGAUCGUGGUCAAAUCCUAUCUGCCUUUCCUCAUCGACGAGGCCAAGUCCAUAAAGCAGGGGAAGAAGACGUUGAAGCUAUACACUCCGGGCUCCAACGGUAAUUCUACUAUUAGAAGUGGAAAAAGAGUGAUGCUAAAUUCACAAAACUCCGUAGUUCAAUCGGACUAAAUGGGAAGUAUCAUAUCCAGCUCAAAAAUAAGUACUUGCUGCAGAAAAGUUCAUCAGUAAAAUCCUAAAGAACAUUAAGGUCAAAAUUCAGUAGAACCAGCCUUGCACCAUCUUAUCUAUGAUUCUGCGUUCGAUUUCUUCAGCAAAAGACUGAAUUUUGUAUCUCCAUCACAUUUUGUUUCCUAUAGGUCCUUACCCAGGUGCGUCAGGUGCGUGGUCCCCAGUGAACCUCGACCAUCCGGCGACAUUCCAAACACUGGCCAUGGACCUGGAGCU